ACUUUUUUGGUGGAUUUUAUGAGCAGUUAUAGUUUUAGAUGGUUUUUCAAGUAUUGGAGAGUUUUUGAAAAAUUAAGAAUAUAUAUUGGACGUGGGACCCACUAGUGCGAAAAGUUCGGAAAAAUUCGGCCAAUAAGGUUAAGUUUCGGAUACUGUGUAAAAUUUAUCGGGUGUUAAGAGAUCGGUAGAGAGUGAGAUUGAUUGAUGUGAGAGGAAAAAAGAAAGAUAAGAUUGCAUUAAUGAAGGUGACAAGUGUCACCACUACAUUGGUUUUGACUUAAGAGUUACUAUUCACUUUUUUUGACUUUUGACCCAUUUGAGUUAAAUAUCUUCAAAAAUCACUAAAAAUUCACCAUUUCUUACCCUUGGAUGGCCGGCCCUCUUAGCUCAAGAAGGAAGAAAUUUUCUUCAACAUUUCAAGCUUCCAACUAGCUCAAUCUUCCAAAAUCAAUCACAUAAAUUAGUUUUACUCCAUACAAUCUUGCCUUUUUGUGUUAGUGGUGAGUUUGGUGAAGUUUUUGGAAGAGCUAAAGUGGUCUACAACUUCUCUUCUCUUGUUUCCUAGGUAAGUGAUGGUUGAACAUCCUACUACCCCUAAUGAUGCUUAAGUGAUGCUUAGUAGUAGCUAAAGUGAUGGAUUAUGUGAAUUAUUUCUUGAUUUGAAGUGAUUUGGUGAAGUUUUUAUAUUUAUGAGGAAUUUUCUGGUUUAUUAUGAAUGAGAUGUUGUGGUCAUCUAUGAUGGCUGUUAAUGAGUGGAAAUGACUCAUGUGGGUGUGAAUUGGUGAUAAUAGCAACCAAUUUUGGGUUUGGAUUGAAAAAUGAAAAGUUAGGGUUCAUAAACCCCUAAUUCUGUCCGGUUUUGGAUCAUAGGGUUAGAGGCCGAAUUGGACUUUUCUCAAAACAUGAAAGUUGUAGGUAUUGAUGAGUUUGAAGUUCCUGCAAAAUUUCAGGUCAUUUGGAUUAGUGUAGAGUGAGAUAUGUCGUUUUUACUGUUGCUGUUCUGGGUUGAUCAGAAUGCGGAAACUGCACUAGUAAUUGGACAUUUUGACUGGAAUUGGUUUGGAUUUUGUUGUUGGUGUCUUCUAAUGAAAUGUAGCUGAAUGUCUUAGCUACCAUAUUCCUUUGGAAUCAAUGCAUUUGGACCUGUAUAGACCGAGUUGUACUGAUUACAGUUUUGUGUGAUUUGUAAACCUGCAAUUACGGUUCAGGUUGGUUUUCUGCCUUUUUGACCUAGUUGUGUUAGGAUUUGGACUGAGUGACCUUCUACAUUGUUGUAGCCCUGGUUCUUAGCUUCGAAACGGUGGGUCUUGGACCUCCAUCCGAUACUCAUAGUGCCUUUGGUACCAUUACCGCAAAAUGACGUCAAAACUGUUUUUCUGGUUUUGAGCUUAACUUUCAUUUCCGAACUUUUCCCUAGCUUGACUUGUACUAGUACUACUUGGAGCUUGCUGAAUGACUAUUAGAUGAACUUGUUGUUGUGUGUGUACCUUUGGGACUGGCUGAGGAAAUAAUGAAGCCUUGAUGGCUGGAAAAGUAAAGAAAUUUAGGGGAAAUGCUGUCCGAAUUUUGAAUGGGCUUGAUUGCUUUGCGUUUGUGCUUUAGGGCUUGGACUUGAGUGAAGUAAUGCAAUAUGAUGGAUGGUUUCUGAGCCAUGGAGGUGAGUGACCCUAAACUAUUUCCAAAGUACUUGUGAAAUGUUUCUUGCAUUAUUUACUCGAUUGCAUCUCAUGCGUGCUUGCAUGUGAAUUCAUGAUAUGAUUUUGGCUUCAAUGAGUUCUGGGAAAGUCUUGUGCUGGACACCAACGUCUCCACUCUGUUUGUGGUUCAUGUUCAUGGUUAUCUGGAGCUCAAAAAGGGGCUUCCUCUCUCUGUUCGUGUGUUAUGAUCUAUUUGAGCGUUGGGUGUUCUAGUGCAAUGAUUUCACUAGCUCACGAGAGCAAUAAACGUACAUUUGAUCUCUGAAUCAUGACAUCAUCGAAAUGAUCGAAAUGCAACAUUGUGAAAUAUAUUUGAUUUCUGAUUUUACUGGUUACUCGCUGAGCUUCUAGCUCACCCCAAAAAUAUUUUAUUCCCCUCCACAGGGCUCAAGGCGAAGGAAGGACUUAUAGUACUUGUGCACGUGAAUGGAUGGCCUUUAUGUGGUACAAUUUGGAUUUGGAAUCAUUUUAGGUAUAGUUGGGAAUUGUUUCCGUUGCAUUUGUGACAUGUAAUUAUUGGAGACUUGGAUGUAUAAUUGUGGACCAUGUGAUGUAUAUUUGAGAUGUAUAUUGUAAUAUAGUUGAGGAUUGUAGUGAACGACUGAGUCCCGGCGAGAGUUGGGCAGGCGGCCCGGCGAACCCUCUGGUUCGCCUUUGGGGGAGGUGGGGUCGUGACAAUUUUCUAGUGCAACCAGGUCAAAAAUUCAAUAUACUAAACCAGAACCGUAAAAACAGGUGAACAAACCGCAUUCUGGUUCAAACAUCAUAAGUCAGCUACCUAAGUCCAAAUGAAGUGAUUCCAAAGCCAUCCGAAAGCUAAGACACCAGGCUACAUUUCUUCAGAAGGUGUCAAUAACCAAAUCAGAAGCAUUCCCAAUCAAAUUAACCAAUUACCAAAGCUGAUUACCAAGUUCGGGUAGAAACAGGGCAGCAGGGGUAUUUCAGUCUUUUCAUAAGCUACGCUACUCCGAUUGACCUGAACUUUUGUAGCCAUCUCUAAAAUAUCAUUCCCUACAACUUUCAUGUUUUAAUCCAAGGCUAAUUCGGCCUCUAACUAUGAUGAACAGUGCCAGGCAGAAUGUGGGGGAAUGAAACCCUAACGUUCACAAUUUCCUUCCAUAACAGAAAUUUCCUGCAAUUAACCACAAUUUACACCUUCUAGUUUCAUUCUAGAUCAAUUCCCAUCAUCAUACAAAGCCACACCAUAUGAAUCAUAUUAAAUCAGAAAAAUCAUGAUUAAAAAGAAAAUGUCAUCAAUCUCCACCAAAAUCAAGAAAUAACACCUAAUCACAUCCCUUAAGCUACCACAAGUCAUUAAUUAUACAUCAUUAGAUAGAGGAGAGGGGUUCCUUCACUACUCACCUUAGUAACCAAAGGAAAAGAGCAACUUGGCACCUUAAUCCUCCAAACAACUCCACUAAUCACCUCACAAUCACUCACUUAAGGGUUUUUAUGGAACAAAAGCAAGAUUCAAUGGUUGAGUUGUUGGAUUUGAGCAAGAUUGAAGCAAGAACUUGGAGAGCUUUUCCUUUCUUUUGCUUGGAGAGAGCCGGCCACCAUAAUCUUGGAAAUGAAGUGAUUUUGAUCAAUUUUUGGGUUUAUUUAGUAAAAUGGUAAAAAGGUGAAUAGUAGUCAAAAUGCAAGAUUUAAUCAUAUAGUGACACUUGUCACCCUAUUUAAUGCAUGCAUAUCACUUUGUUUCCUCUCACACCAAUCCACUUGGUAACCUCUAAUUAUCUCAUAACACCCGGUAAAUUAAAUCUAGUAUCCCAAACUUAACUUAAUUGGCUGAAUUUAACCGAACUUUCCGCACUAGCGGGUCCCACGUCCGAUAUACGUUCUUAAUUUCUCAAAAUCUAACCGAUACUAGAAAAAUCUUCUAAAAACUAUAUUUACUCAUAAAAAUUAUUUAGAAAAUUUUCUAAUAAAGAAAAUGCAUAAAAGGCGUGCAAAUAAUUAAAAUAAGGCCUAGAAAUAAGGAAAUUUACGAGUUCUCACACUCUCUCCCCCUUAAAAGAAUUUCGCCCUCGAAAUUUUCUCACCUUAAUUCACUAACAGUUCAGGAUAUUUCUUUCGCAUCUCUUCUUCCACCUCCCAGGUAGUCUCUUCUAUCCCAUGAUUUCUCCACUUUUUCCGAGCGAAAACAACUGCGACUAACUCCAAGUCGUGGGUUGGAUAGUUUUUGUUCGUGGGGUUUCAAUUUCUUAGAGGCAAAAGAUUUCACAUUCUGGUUUUGCGUCAACACACACCCCAAACCUUCUCUCCUACCCAAACGUGGCAAUCCUUACAAACCAUACCAGUGCUCAAACGAUGUUUUCCCAUAGGAGUACUACUUUCAGGUCGUCGGGUAGACGAGCAGGUUUUGUAUCUAUUCCGUACAUAAAAUUGGGGUUGACAAAUGAAUGAGUAACACCGGGAUCUACUAAGAUUUCACAAAUCGGUGAACUACCGAAAUCGUACCUUCCUCAAUUUCAGAAAAAUCGGGGACCUGUUGUGGCUCCAGUGAAUACACUCGAGCCGCUACCUUAGGUUUGGUCCCUUCCACCUUGGCCGGUUCGAAAUUAGUCCUCGUCGAUUGCUGACUCCCCUUUCCAUCUCGUGAUAGGACUGGACAAGUAGCGAGCUGAUGGUUUGCACUUCCACAGCGCAAACAUUUUCCCUCCUUCUUCCAGCAAUUGUCCUCCGAGUGGUUUGAUUUUCCGCAGUACCCGCAAGGUCCGCGUGCUGCAGAAGCCGAGCCUCCUCUCUGGCCUCUCCCUACUUGGCCGCCUCGUGACGGGCCCUCUCGUGACACUCCCGGCAUCCUUUCUCCUCCCGUUCCCCGCCCAAACUUGGAAGGGGUACUCUCAUCCUCCUGCCCCGAACUACUUCCAGGAACUCCUCGCUUUUUCGCCUGGAAGUUCCUCACCUGUAGCCUAGCAUUCUCUACUCGUUGCGUCUUCUCCACCGCAUCGCUGAAGGCGUUAAUUUGGGCUACCGCGAGGUCCUUCUGGAUUUCUACGUUCAGGCCCUGGACAAAUCGCCGUAUUCUUCUUUGCUCGGUCAUGAUGAGUUCGGGCGCAAAUUUGGAUAGGCGGGUGAAUUGGCUCUCGUAUUCCGCUACAGAUUGGGCCCUCUGACGAAGCCAAAUAAAUUCAUCUUCCUUCCGCUCCUGAACUAGAGGAGGGAAGAAUUUAGCAUUGAAUUCCCGCAUAAAAUUCACCCAGGUCCUGGGCGUUUGUUCCCGUUCCCAUUUUUGCCGAACAACGUUCCACCAGGAACGGGCCGCCCCUUCCAGUUGAAAGACGGCGAAGGUCACCUGCCUCUCCUCCGUAUAAUUAGGGCGGCAAAGAUAUCCACCAUCUUCUCUAGCCACCUUUCGGCCACGUCCGAAUCAGGCCCCCCAAUAAACUUUGGUGGGGCAAACUUCUGGAACCUCUUGAGAGCCCUAUCCUCACUCUCCACGUGAUUACCGGGGUUCCCAGGGUUGGGGUUAGGGUUUUGACCCUGUUGGUGCACCGCUUGGGCUAGUAAAUUAGUCAUUUGCUGCAUAGCAGCCGCUAUUUGGAUGUUAGGAUCAACCCUAGGUUCAGGGUUAGGUCCAGAUGAGGUUUCCCCAGUGCCCCUUUCAGGCGUGGGUUGCCUACCCCCGCGUCCAAUGCCUCUACCACUACAAGUGCCUUCCAUCAAUCUAAGUCGAUCUAGGUCACAAAAUAAAUAUACUGUUAAAGGGCACCUAACCCUCCUUUUCGUAGCACUAAAUAGGAACAAUUAAACAAGGACAAUUAACUAAAAUAACUACCUCGUAGAGCAUUUAAACAUAUAACACAUAUACAUAGAACACAUAAUCGGAUCAAGCAAUUAUACAGAACAGUCAGUCAAGUACAUACAAAGUCAUCCCAUGAAACAAAAGGGGUCCUCCUAAAGUACUAGAGACAGACUAGGUCACGAGUACAAAAGAACUCACGAAAAGCUUUCCCCCCCCCUAGAGCUCCGUCCAUAAUCUACGAGAACAAUACCAUUUAUAUCUUAAUCAAGGUUGAUCACGCUUAACCAUACCCGAACAAACCACACGAAGUUCCAUAGAAUCGCAUUUCUAGUUCGCCCAAUCCUUUCUAACCUAGGCUCUCAUCUCUUUCAUAUCCGGGCGCAAGAAUCCCAUCUAAGAUGAUUCACAACUCGAGCCGGCCGGUCCCAAGCGUAAAUCAUCCAUAUUAAAGAUUCCUACCCGACAUACAUACCUAACUUCCUCAAGUCCCAUGAUAAUGAUUCUUACACUUAUGACAUGCACAGUUCAUAGCUUACGCUCAAAAGAGCACUUAUACCUUUUGACGCAUUCACGAAAGCAGGACCAUAACACCACUUGGCCCAAGCUCUCUCCGCGCAGAGACCACGCGAAGUGGCUCUGAUACCACCUGUGACAGCCCCACCUUCCCCUAAGGCGAACCAAAGAGGUUAGCGGACUGCCUGCCCAGCUCUCGCCAGGACUAACGGGACAAUUCAAUACGGUUUAAACGUUCCGGAACACACAAGCGCGCUUCAACAAGUCAAAAUCACAAAAUAAAAAAAAAAGAGAACGGAGUCGGCCAUGAAUAGUAACUGACACGUCAAAAUCCAACCACGCAUCAAUCAAACAUAUACAUCUUGAAAUUUAGCGUUUACAUACCAAAAGGGCAUACCCAAGUUGUCCAACAAGUUUAUACAAGUACGGUUUGCAAAUUACAACUCAACAUGUUUGGUUGGAUCCAAAAUGCACUUAGAGUUUUUUCAAAAGGAGCUAUUCAAAAUUUCAUUCACAUAAGCUCAACUCGGCAACCAACAUUCAUGGACUUUCCAAAAGUAUUCAAAUUCCUGUAAGGAAAACAAAAGGAAUAGAGUGAGCUUACGCCCAGUGAGACACUAUCACUCAAGCAACCAAGUUAUUAUAAGCAUAAGACUUUUCACCCCAAUUCAUUCAAUAAAGAAGUAAACCAAGAUCACACAUCAAUAAAAUUGGUAAAAGGAUACGGACGGCUCUCAAGAGCCCCUUUCCUCCGCUGUAUACUUGAUCGGACUUCAUUGACCCUCCGUCAAUGUUUACAAGUAACCAACCGUAGGCUCCACUUUACUUCCAUUCCUUCCACCCAACAUCCCCCUACCGGGCCCGAACUCCAAACAGUAGAAAUUUGGUAAUACUCGAGUAUACUGGAAUCAAGAGUCUCACUACUACAAGAUUCCAUAUAACAGUCCCCAUGGCUCGUCAACUUUCACGACCAAGCCCUCGCUGGCUCGAUUCGAUCGACUACCAAUGGGGUUGAGCUCAGUAGCAACAGUAAAAGCCGUUGGAUCCUCAUCCAAACAACACCAAAUCCAGUUUUUCAUGUACAUUUCAAGUACCACAGUGAACACAGUAUACAGUCGUGUAUAAUACAAAAAGGAGGUGAGGGCGAUCAAGUACACCCUCACUUUAAUCAGUUUUAACAGUGCAAAUAAGCCUUCAAGGCAUCAAGUUCAAUAUAAUAAAGCCACAUUGUAAACAAACAAGUGAGUAGUAUACUCACCAAGCAAGCAAGUGGAAUUUCGUAAACUUCUGCCCAAAGAGCGUCUUUACUCACCGUCACACCCUAAAAUAUUCAAAUAAGCACAAUAAGACUCAAUUACAGGUCAUAAACCAAUUCCAAAUACCACCAAAAUAGGGCUCCAUAAGAAUGUAUAAGUACUAGAGUAAACCAGGGAAAUCCGGAAAUGGAAUCAAGCUCUAAACCAUAAAAAUAGUUUUUGACAUCAUUUUGCGGUUUUGGUACCAUUGGCACUACGAUUAUCGGAUGGAGGUGUAAGAUACACCAUUUCGAAGCUAAGAGGUAGGGCUACAAUGUUCAAGAAGGCUACUCAGUCCAGUUUCUAGUGCAACCAGGUCAAAAAUUCAAUAUACUAAACCAGAACCGUAAAAACAGGUGAACAAACCGCAUUUUGGUUCAAACAUCAUAAGUCAGGCUACCUAAGUCCACAUUAAGUGAUUCCAAAGCCAUCCGAAAGCUAAGACACCAGGAUAAAUUUCUUCAGAAGGCGUCAAUAACCAAAUCAGAAGCAUUCCCAAUCAAAUUAACCAAUUACCAAAGCUGAUUACCAAGUUCGUGUAGAAACAGGGCAGCAGGGUUAUUUCAGUCUUUUCAAAAGCUACGCUACUCCGAUUGACCUGAAAUUUUGUAUCCUUCUCUAAAAUAUCAUUCCCUACAACUUUCAUGUUUUAACCUAAGGCUAAUUCAGCCUCUAACUAUGAUGAACAGUGCCGGGCAGAAUGAGGGGGAAUGAAACCCUAACGUUCACAAUAUGAUUCCCUACAAUAUUUUUCUGUUUUAAUAUGACUCAUAUGUUGUGGCCAUGGAUGAUGAUUGGAAAUGAUCUUGAAUGAAGUUAGAAGGUGUAAAUUGUGGUCAAUUGCAGAAAAUUUCUGCAUUGAAUAGAAAUUUCGGAAGUUAGGGUUUCGAUUACCCCCUUUCUGCCUGGUACUGUUCAUCAUAGUUAGAGGCCGAAUUAGCCUUGGUUUAAAACAUGACAGUUGUAGGCAAUGAUAUUUUAGAGAUGUCUGCAAAUUUUCAUGUCAAUCGGAGUAGCGUAGCUUAUAAAAAGACUGAAAUACCCCUGCUGCCCUUUUCUACCCGAACUUGGUAAUCUGCUUUGGUAAUUGGUUAAUUUGAUUGGGAAUGCUUCUGAUUUGGUUAUUGACACCUUCUGAAGAAAUGUAUCCUGGUGUCUUAGCUUUCGUAUGGGUUUGGAAUCACUUGAUUUCGACGUAGGUAGCCUGACUUAUGAUGUUUGAACCAGAAUACGGUUUGUUCACCUAUUUUUACGGUUCUGGUUUAGUAUAUUGAAUUUUUGACCUAGUUUCACUAGAAAAUGGACUGAUUAGCCUUCUUCAACAUUGUAGCCCUUUCUGUUAGCUUCGAAACGGUGUAUAUUUCACCUCCAUCCGAUAAUCGUAGCACCGGUUGUGUCCAAUACGCUAAAUGACGUCAAAACUGUUUUGGGUUUUAGGGCUUAACUUUCAUUUCCGGUCAUUUUCCUUGCUAAAUCUUGUAUUUGAAUGACUUUAAGCCUAGUGAACGGCUUUUGGAAAUGAGAUUAAUUUGUAUGAGAUGUUGGGACUGAUUUGAGGAAAAUAAUGAAGCCAUGAUGGCUGGAAAAGUAAGCAAAUUCAGGGAAAAUGCUGUCCAAUUUUUCUAGGCCGUUUAGUCUCUUUAGGUUUGAGUUGCCUUUUGAAAGAAAUGAAGGGCUAUUUGGGUCAUUCAAACCCUAGUCCUCUCGUUACUUUUGUUUCCAAAAUCAUGUUUUGCACCCUUGUAUUAGUAAUUAUUUGGCGAGGCAUACGACUAGUAGUCAAGCCUCACUUGUGUAUUCUGUUUACUCGAUUUUGGAUGUGAAACCCUCAAUUCUUUUACUUUUGUUCUUUUAGGGUUUCUUGGCGAUUAAAGCCAGUUUGAAGUGAAAACUUUUGAAGUAUCCGUACUUGAACCGGUGAGUGUAUCACUCCCCUUAUUUGUUGAUUAACUUGGGGUCUGUAUAUGCAAUCUGUGAUAUGACCGAAUGUACUAUUUGUUUAUUCUGUUUGAGACGAAGGUGUACUUUAUCACACUCGUUCUCUUGUCUGGUCAUAUGCCAAUUUACUGUGCCAAAUUUGAAUCUGUUAUCUGUAUCUAUAUCUGUUCAGACGUCGUUUGGAGGCUGGUAUCCAACGACCUUUCUGUGACCUCUGAGCUCAACACCUGUGGCUAGUUACUCGAGUCGAGCCGGCAAGGGGCCUGGUCGAUUAGAUAACGAACCACGGUAGUCUGUUUUGGGAUCUUUGGGUAUUGAGACCCUUGAUUCCGGUAUACUCGAGUAGUACCAUUUCUGCACUGAUUGGAGUUCGGGCCCGGUAGGGGUAUGUGAGGUGGAAGGAAUCGGAGAAAGUGGAGUCUACGGUAUUGGUUACUCCUUUAGCGUUGACGGAGUGUCAACUAUUAUUUCGAUCAAGCUUCGGUGAAGCAAAUGGGAAUUUGGCUCCUGAGAGCCACCUGUAUCCUUCCUAUUUGAAUCAUUGUGUCUAACUACUUUACUUUACAUCUGGCAUGUGUACCUGAUUUGUUAAACGUGAAAUGCCAUGAUUUUACUGCUACAUGUCUGGUACCUCAUUGAGCGCAAGCUCACCCCUUUCUGUUACCUUUGUUUUCCUUACAGGGUUCCAUGUUUUGAAACCAAGAUUUUUGGAAGAAAAGAGUUGAGCUAGUUGUAGGACUUCUUUUGUUUAUGCUCCUCUGUAACUGAAACCCUAAUUGUAUUUCGUGUAGCGUGAAUACUCUGGCUUGUAUUUUGGUUCAUUGGUUCAAGACUCCGAUGUAAAUAUAUGUAUAAGUGUUUAAUCGACAUCCCGUACUUCCGUAUGGUUUGCUAAGCUCUGUUUAACCCUUGGUGGUCUCCAAUUGUUCGUUUUUGUUGAGUUCUCACGCGUACUAUAUAGGGUUUGUGUGAAUCGACUCCGUAGUCCUGGCGAGAGCUGGGCAGGCGGUCCGCCGAACCCUUUGGUUCGCCCUAGGGUGAGGUGGGGCUGUCACACUCAUAACACCCGGUAAAUUAAACCCAGUAUCCCAAACUUAACUUAAUUGGCCGAAUUUAACCGAACUUUCCGCACUAACGGGUCCCACGUCCGAUAUACGCUCUUAAUUUCUCAAAAUCUAACCGAUACUAGAAAAAUCUUCUAAAAACUAUAUUUACUCAUAAAAAUUAUUUAGAAAAUUUUAUAAUAAAGAAAAUGCAUAAAAGGCGUGCAAAUAAUUAAAAUAAGGCCUAGAAAUAAGGAAAUUUACGGGUUCUCACACUUUCUCUCCCUAAAUUUCGUCCAAGGCUUGCAAGAAAAGAAGGAAAUGGUGCUGAAAUGGAAGCUUGGUUUGUGAUAAGUAUGAAGCUUAGUCUUGGUCAAGGUUAAAUGAUUGACAAGUGGCAAGAUUGCAACUCAAGUCUAUCUAUUUGUCUCUAAUUCACCCUAAUCUCUAUCUCUUCUCCAAUUAACUCUUAACCACAUAAUCCUUUUUGCACAUAACUCCCUCUUGUCCACCAAAUUUGUUGCACAUACCUCACUAGUGGAUCACAUUAGUAUAAUGCACUAUGAAACUUAACAUGCACCAAGUUGAAUAAGGCAAUAGGAUAAAAAUCAUGAUUCAACUAUUAAAUCAACCAAGAAUUUAAGGCAAGACAAUUAAAAUAAAAGAUAUGAAAAUAAUUUUCAGGGCCUCACAUGCUCGCUCUUGAACCACAUUGGCAUUAGUAUUCAGUUUUAAAAAAUGGGGUAGAGGUCGUUUCCGCGAAACUGCUACACUUCACCUUCUUCGACUAGAGUGAAUUACUAACCCUGCCCAUGGAUCCUCAAAAUCACCCUUAAAAUGUGUUACAGAAUGUGACAGCCCCACCUUCCCCUAAGGCGAACCAAAGAGGUUAGUGGACUGCCUGCCCAGCUCUCGCCAGGACUAACGAUGCAGUUAAACACGAUCUAAAACGUUCCGGGAAAAUAAAAGCGCGCUCAAACAAGUCAAAAUUUCAAAAUAGCCAAACGAAAAUCAAAAACGUCGAUGAAUAGUGGGUGUCAUGUCAUAUAACUCGGAAGGACACGUAAACAGGGUUAAACAGUGUUAUACACAUACUUUUGUAAUUUACCAAACAAAAGGAAGAUAACUGGAUCAAAAUACAUUUAGGGUUUUUCCAACUAUCGAGGAGCUUUACAAAAGAUAUUAAAACUAGCUCAACUCGUGCUUCAAAACAUCAUAGUCCCCAAAAGUGGUUCCCUGUAAGGAAAACAAAAGCAACAGAAAGGGGUGAGCUUACGCUCAAUGAGGUACCAAUCAUAUAGGGAAAAAAUCAUGGCCUUUCACGUUAACCAAUCAGAUACAUAUUCCAGAUUUAAAGGAAAGCAGUUAGACACAGUGAUUCAAAGGGAAAGGAUACAGGUGGCUCUCAGGAGCGAGAUUUCCAUGUGCAGUAUUUGAUCCAAACCCGUUGACUCUCCGUCGAUGUACAUAGAACCAACAUAUCCGUAGACCCCACUUUACACCAAUUUCCGUGUGACGCCCCGAAAAGUAUAAGUGUGAGAACCCGGAAAUUUUCUAAUUUUCUAGGGUUUAUUUUUUUUAAUCGCCCGCCUUUUCUACAUUUUCUUUAUUAGAAAAAUUCCCCAGAUAAAGUUUAUGAGCAAAGAUAGUUUUAAAAUGAUUUUUCUAGUAUCGGUUAGUUUUUGAGAAAUUAAGAGCGUAUUUUGAACGUGGGACCCGCAAGUGCGGUAAAUGCAUUAUAAUUUUGACAACUUGUUGGAAUUUUAUAUUAAGUGAUAUUAUUUUACAAAGUGUUAAGAUAUUUGUAUUGGAGAGACAAAAAGAUAAGUUUUAAACCUAAAGGUGACAAGUGUCACCAUAAGAUUUAGUCUUGAGUUUGACUACUAUUCAUAACUUUACCAUUUAAUUAAAAUUGGCCAAAAAUCUCUUCAUUUUGCAAGCUUCUUGGCCGAAUGUUCUUGCUCAAGAAAGAAAGAAAAGCUCUCAAUUUCUUCCUUCUAUUUCUUGCUCAAUCUUCAAAUCCAACCAAUAAAACUCCAAAUCAUUCCAUAAAAUCUCUUUGCUAAGUGGUCUUGAGGUGUUUUGUGGAGUUGUUUGGAAAGCUAAGGUGACUAGUUGCUCUAUCUCUUGUAUUGCUAAGGUGAGUUGUGAAUGACCCCUCUCCUUCCUCUAAUGAUGUUCAAUUCAUGAUUGGUGGUGGUAUAAGAUGCACUUUUAUGGAUUAUAUCUUGGUUUUGGUUGAAUUGGUGAAGUUUUAUAAUUAUUGGGGAUUUUUCUGUUUUCAUAUGGAUAUGAUUGUGUGGUUAUAUAUGAUGAUUGGAAAUUAUAUUUAAGGACUCUAUGAGGUGGAAAAAGUGGUUAAUUGCAAACAAUUUCUGUUUUGGAAGAAAUCUUGGAAAGUUAGGGUUUGAUGUUCUUCAUUCUGCCCGAAUUUAUAGCUCCUAGUUAGAGGCCGAAUUGGCCUUGUCUUAAAACAUGAAAGUUUUAGGGAAUGACAUUUUGGAGGUGCUUACAAAAUUUAAGGUCAAUCGGAGUAGUGUAGAAUGAGAAAAGUCUAAAUUACUAUUGCUGUUCUGGUUUUACCCGAAUGUAAGAAUUGCGCCUGUAAUUGGUUGUUUUGGCUGGAAUUGCUUCCGAAUUGGUUGUUGAGGUCUUCUGAUGAAAUUUAUCCCUGUUUCUUAGCUUUCAGCUGGUUUUAGAAUUUCUGGAUUUGGACUUGGAGAGCCUGAGUUAUGAUGUUUCCGCUAGAAUGCGUUCUGUGAAUCUGUUUUUGUGAUUCUGGUAUGGUAUCUUGCAUUUUGACCUGGUUACACUCGAAACUGGUUGAGUGACCUUCUGUAAUGUUGUAGCCCUGUCUUUUAGCUUCGAAACAGUGUAUCUUGGACCUUCAUCCGACAAUCGUACCGCCUUUGGUACCAUUACUGCAAAAUGACGUCAAAACUGUUUUUCUGGUUUUGAGCUUAACUUUCAUUUCCGGACUUUUCCCUAGCUUGACUUGUACUAGUACUACUUGGAGCUUGCUGAAUGGCUAUUGGAUGAACUUGUUGUUGUGUGUGUACCUUUGGGUUGGAAUGAGGAAAUAAUGAAGCCAUGAUGGCUGAAAAAGUUAGCAAAUUCAGGGGAAGUGCUGUCCGAACUUUGAAGGGAUUUGUUUGCAUUGAGUUUGUGAUCUAAGACUUGGAUUUGAGCAAGGCAAUGUUAUAUGAUGGAUGAUUUCUGAGCCGUGGAGGUGAGUGACCCUAAACUAUUUCCAAAGUACUUGUGAAACGUUUCUUGCAUUAUUUACUUCUAAACUGUUUCCAAAGUUACUUUUGAACUGUUUUCUUGCGUUAUUUACUUUUGAACCGUUUUCUUGCAUAUCAUGCGUGCUUGUAUGAGAGUGUUCCUUGUUUGUUAUAUUUUUUUGACUUAUUGGCUUGUUAUUAUUGAUUGAUAAUGUGUUAAGUGCUUUCACUGAUUGUUAAAACGAGUUUUCUAGGCGAGGGUGUACUUUAUCGCACUCGACCUAAAUAAAUGUGAAAUUUUCAAUGAUUAAGGAUUCAAUGUUACUUGUGCAUGAAUGUAAGCCUUUUUGGCUGAACUGGCCACUGCCCUUCGUUACCGAUCGACUCGAGCCAGAAGCGGACUCGGUCGGGCGAUAUGGUGACCCUGGGUGAAUUUGGUAUACUCGAGUAUUACCUUGUAGUCGGGCUACUCCGGAUGGGCGGAGUCUGGCCAAUGGUCGGAUGGGUGGAGUCCGGCCAACGUCCGGAAAAGGGAUGAACGAACAAAAGGAUGAACGAGGGAUUCUACUUACAAAAAUGUAUUUUUAAAUGAUUGGAGGAAUAAGGGGAAAUGUUAAGGGAUCACACGAACAAACAAAUAGCUCCAUGUGGGCCCGUAUCCUUUUAAUGAAUGUUACUAUCGCUUUCCAUUGUAAAUGUUCCUUGAAUUAUUGAUACUCAAUUUUAAUGUAUUGUAAAUGUUGUAAUUGUUUCUGGACUUACCAUUUGAUUUAUGACAUCAUUGAUUUACGACAUCAUUGAAAUGAACUAUUGUGAAACCAAUUUGAUUACUGAUUUUAAUGGUUACUCGCUGAGCUUCUAGCUCACCCCAAAAAUAUUUUAUUCCCCUCCACAGGGCUCGUGGCGAAGGAAGGACUUGUAGUACUUGUUCACGUGACUGGAUGGCAUAUAUUGUGAGAACCCGUAUUUUUCCCUAAUAAUUUUUCCUAGGGUUUUUCCCCUUUAAUGGCAUGUUUUCUGCAUUUUCUGGCUUAGGAAAUUUUCCUGGUGAAUUUUAUGAGUAAUUAUAGUUUUUAGAUGAUUUUGCUAGUACUUGAUAGUUUUUGAAAAAUUAAGGAUAUAUAAAGGACGUGGGACCCACUAAUGCGAAAAGUUCAAAAACAUUCGGCCAAUUAGGUUGAGUUUCGGAUACUGGUUGAAAUUUAUCGGGUAUUAAGAGAUAAGUAGAGGAGGUGAAGUGAUUGAUGUGAGAGGGAAAAAGAAGGAUAGACUUGCAUUUAUGGAGUGACAAGUGUCACAUGGCCAUUGGUUGUCUUUGUUGACAACUAUUCACUUUUUGACUUGUCUUACCAAGUGAUUAAAUAUCUCAAAAAAAAUCACCAAAAUUCACUCUUUUCUUCUCCCUCUUGGUCGGCACUCUUGAGCAAAGGAAGGAAGAGGAAGGAAGAGAACUCUUCAAAAUUUUAGCUACCAUCUAGUGCAAAUCAUCCAAACCAAUUGCUUAAAUUUGUUUCUACUCCAUAAAAUCCCUCCAUUUGGUGCUAGUAAGUGAUUUUGUGGAAGUGUUCAAGGAAGCUAAGGUGUCCUACAACUCUCCCUCUCUUGUGUUCUAGGUAAGUGGUGUUUGAACUUCCUCCUACACUUAAUCAAGCUUAAGUUGUGCUUAAUGGUAGCUAAAGUGAUGAUUUUGUGGUUUAUUUCUUGGUUUGAGAUGAAUUGGUGAAGUUUUCCAUUUAUUGAUGAAUUUUCUGGUUUAAUGUGAUCAUGAUGUUGUGGCUAUCUAUGAUGGUUGGAAAUGAUGGUUAAUGACUAUAGUAGGUGUACAUGAUUGGUAAUUGCAAGCAAUUUUGGGUUUGGAAGGAAUUUCAGAAAGUUAGGGUUUUAUAUCCCCAAAUUUGUCCGGUUUUGUAUCUCAUGGUUAGAGGCCGAAUUGGCCUUGGCUUAAAACAUGAAAGUUGUAGAUAUUGAUGUGUUUGAGGUUCCUGUAAAAUUUCAGGUUCAUCGGAGUUGUGUAGAGUGAGAAAAGUCGAUUUUACUGUUGCUGUUCUGGGUUCUUCAGGAUGGCCGAACUGCGCCUGUAAUUGGCUGUUUUGACUGGAAUUGCUUUGGAUUUGGUUGUUGAGGUCUUCUGAUGAAAUGUAACUUGAUGUCUUAGCUACCAUAUUCCAUUGGAAUCAAUGAAUUUGGACUUGUAUAGACUGAGUUGGACUAAUUACAGCAUAGUGUAAUUUGUAAACCUGCAAUUAAGGUUCUGGUUUGGUAUUUUGCAUAUUUGACCUAGUUGUGCUAGGAUUUGGACUGAGUGGCCUUCUACAUUGUUGUAGCCCUGUCUUUUAGCGUCGAGAUGGUGGGUCUUGUACCCUCAUCCGAUAAGCGUAGCGCAAUUUGUGCCAUUACCGCAUAAUGAGGACAAAACUGUUUUUGUUGUUAGGGCCAAGUUAGUUACAUUUCCUGAUUUUCUGGUUUGCUAUAAUGCUUAUAUAUGCAUAUGAAACCCUAUUGGGGUUGUGAUUGGCAUGGCUUUAUGACUCGUUAUCGAGUCUCAUUGUAUUUGUUUGUAUGUUCUAGGGCGUGACGGUGGUUCACGACAUUCUCUUGACGGAAGUGCAUGAAACAACACUUAAUUGAUAAGUGAGUAUACUACUCACUUGAAUGUUACAAUGUGGCUUUGCUAUAUGUGAUUUUGAUGCCUUGAAGGCUUAUUUGGCUAUUGGAAUGGAUUGAGGUGAGGGUGUACUUGACCGCCCUCACCCCUUGUGAUACUGUUAAUGACUGUUUACCGCUUCACUGAUAUACUGCACUUGCUAUAUGAGAUAUUGAAUUCACUUCAUGAAAACUGAUUUGGUGUCGUUUGGACGAGUAUCCAACGGCCUUACUGUACUACUGAACUCAACCCCGUUGGUAGUCAAUUGAAUCGAGCCGGCGAGGGCUUGGUCGUGAAAAUUGACAUGCCACGGGGACUGUACUGGGGAAUCUUGUAGUAAUGAGACUCUUGAUUCCGGUAAACUCGAGUAUUACCAAAAGCUACUGAUUGGAGUGCGGGCCCGGUUGGGGUAUGUUUGGUGGAAGGGAUGGGAGUGAAGUGGGUUCUACGGUUGGUACUCAUAAACGUUGACGGAGAGUCAAUGAGAUUGGAUCAAGAAUAUAAGCGUGGAAAUGGGCUCUUGAGAGCCGUCCGUAUCCUUUUACCGACUUGUUUUAUUCUUUAAUUGUGUACUUGAAAUGAAAGGUUAUGCUAUAUGCUCUUUGUUGCUUAUGUGGUAGUAACUCACUGGGCUUAAGCUCAUUCCGUUCCAUUUGUUUUCCUUACAGGAAAUGACCACUUUUGGAUAAGGUUGUGUUAGUUGGUUGUCAAGUUGAGCUCAUGUAAAUGUCUUUUGAAUAGCUCUUUGAAUGAAACCCUAAUGUGUAUUGGGUUCAAUUUCUUUUGAUUGGCAAACCGAACAUGUAUAUCCAUGAUGAAUCGUUUUGAUAUGCCGCUUUGGCUUUUGGCUUGUUAAUGUUACAUUUCAAUGUAUAUAUGUUGGAUUGAUGUUUGGUUGAACUCCGGAUUCUGACAUGGCCGGUACUGUUCAUCAUCGGCUUCGAUUUUCAUUUUUUUUAUUUUGUGAUUUUGACUUGUUUGCGCGCGUUGGUAUGUUCCGGAACGUAUUAGAUCGACGUCAACUGAUCCGUAGUCCUGGCGAGAGCUGGGCAGGCAGUCCGCUAACCCCUUUGGUUCGCCUUAGGGGAAAGGUGGGGCUGUUACAAGUGGUAUCAGAGCCACUUCGCGUGGUCUCUGCGCGAAGUGAGACUGGGCCAAGUGGCAUUGUGGUCCUAAUUUCAUGAAUAUGUUUAAGUGCUCGUUUGAGCAUAAGUUAUGAACCGGGCAUGUGAUAAGUGUACGAAUCAUUAUCAUGGGACUCGAGGAAGCUAGGUAUGUAUGUCGGGUAGGAAUCUUUAAUAAGGAUGGUUUACUCUUGGGACCGGCCGGCUCGAGUUGUGAAUUAUCUUAGAUGGGAUUCUUGCGCCCGGAUACGAAAGAUAUGAGGGCCUAGGUUAGAAAGGAUUUGGUGAACUAGAAAGGCCAUUCCUCGGUGGAUCGUUUAUGUUUGUACCUGACUUAACUGGCUGUAUAUAUGUGUGUGGCUUAAUUUUGACCGGCUUGUAUAUAUAUGUUUUGAUCUUGUUUGGAAUGUGUAAAUGUGUGUUACUAUAAAAGUUUUGAGUGUUACUCACAUGCAUCGUGCUUAUUUUGGUUUAGUAUUAUUGCCUAGACCAAGUAAAACUCAUGAAAGGUACACGGAGUAGUCGGGGACGUGGGCGCAGAACUAGACAACCCACACCGGUUAGGGGUACGGGGGAAACCUCUACUGGACCCAAUCUGGAACCGCAAGUAAACCCUAAUGUGCAAAUCCCUGCUGCUAUGCAGCAAAUGACAGACUUGCUGGCACAAGUGGUGCAGCAACAGGGCCAAAACCCAAACCCUAACCCUGGAAACCCUGGUAACCAUAUCGAGAGCGAAGACAGAGCUCUCGAACGAUUCCAAAAGUUUGCUCCGCCAAAGUUUGUUGGGGGACCCGACCCAGACGUUGCCGAAAGAUGGUUUGAAAAGAUGGUGGAUAUAUUUGCAGCCUUACACUACCCUGACGAACGGCAGGUGACUUUUGCCGUGUUCCAGCUUGAGGGGGCAGCCCGUUCCUGGUGGAACGUAAUUCGGCAGAAGUGGGAACGAGAACAGACACCUAGGACUUGGGUGAACUUCAUCAGAGAGUUUAAUGCGAAGUUUUUCCCUCCUCUAGUUCAGGAAAGGAAGGAAGACGAGUUCAUUCGACUCCGCCAAGGAGCUCAAACUGUGGCGGAAUAUGAGAGCCAAUUCACCCGCCUAUCCAAAUUUGCGCCUGAACUCAUCAUGACCGAGCAACGAAGAAUACGGCGAUUUGUCCAGGGCCUGAACGUAGAAAUCCAGAAGGACCUCGCGGCAGCCCAAAUUAACGCCUUCAGCGAAGCAGUGGAGCCCAAAUUCUCUCCUCUAGAACCUCUCUCCAAACCCUAGCCUCUUCUCACAGCCGACCCCUCUCAGUUUUCUCCAGCCGUCACCUUUUGCUCUCUCAAACCUCUCCGUAGCUUUCUUGUCCUUUUUCCUUUCGGUCUCCCUCUUGUUUUUUUUUUUCCGCCGUCACCGAACUCUCUUUUGUCCCGCCCUCUCUCGGCUCUCUUCACUCUUUCUGGUUUCUGGUUCCUUAGUCGUCACCAGCCUCACUCCCCGAAACCCCAGCUCUCUCCUUUUUUCUUUUUUACCCUCAGCCGUCAUUCCUUUUCCCCCUUUGCUGCGUCUUUCUUUUGUUCUAUUUAUACCCAACCACCCACUCUCAAACCCUCACCUGAAGGGUGAGGAUGAGAGUGGAGGUUUACCUGGGCAUCCUAGGGCCCUCCGAUGGGCGUGUGCUGCUCUCCUUUGCAAGCUGCGUUUUCGCAGCUUUCAUGUUAAAAAUUUUUUUUUUUCGGAAUAAUAAUUUAAAAAAGUAAUAAUAAAGCUAAGUAAUAAAAAACAACAAUUUAAGUAACAUCACAUCAAAAUAUACAAACUAAAAACAACAAAGUUGCCAUUUUUCAAUCGUUUUUCCUUCAUUUUUCACUUUUAUCUUUUUUCUUUUCUUUUUUCUCUUUUUUUUUAAAAUCAAAUUAGUAGAUAAAAUAAAUGCUUGUAAACUAAUUAAAAUACAAUAAGAGGCACGAAACAGGAAACAACCAAAAUAAACCUAAAAUUGAAACAAAUAAAUCUAAAAUUAAACUAAUUAAAAAAAAUAAAAUUCGAAACCAAAAAUUUGGUGUCUACAAGAAUGACCAAUAUAUUCACCUCCUUAGACUAUACUGAGGAUAGGCAAGUGAAUUUUGUCGCUUUCCAAUUUGAGGGAGUGGCUCGUGCUUGGUGGAACACGAUAAAAGGAAAAUGGGGGAGAGUUCAAACCCCUUGGACUUGGGAGAAUUUCACGAGGGAGUUUAAUGAAAAAUUUCUUCCACCCCUGAUUCAAGAAAAGAGGGAGGAUGAAUUUAUCAAGUUGAAACAAGGGACCCUUAGUGUAGCUGAGUACGAAGGGAAAUUUACUAAGCUUUCUAAGUAUGUCCCUGAAUUGGUAACCAAUGAAAGGAAGAGGAUAAGGCGGUUUGUGCAGGGACUUAACGUAGAGAUUCAGGAGGGCUUGGCUGCAGCCCAAAUCUCCACCUUUACUGAGACUUUAGAGAAAGCGCAGCGAGUGGAAACUGCAAGAAUGCAAGUUAAAGACUUUCACAAUAGGAAGAGGAACUUUUCUAGUCGUACUUCUGGACAGACUAGUAAGAGUUCACAGCCUUCUAAAGUUGGAAGAGGAAUGGGAGGAAUAAGGACUACUGGACCUUCUAGGGGAGCUUUAUCUAGAGGAGGUCGUAGUGGAUCGGUUCAUACUAGGGGAGCGCCUUCUAGUGGUUCAGCCGUGACCCCUCAAGUCACUUGCGAAUAUUAUGGAAAAUCCAACCACUCUGACAAUGAAUGUUGGAGAAAGUCUGGAAAGUGUUUGGCUUGUGGUAGCACGGAGCACCAACUUGUGAACUGUCCAAGUAAAACGAAGAUUGGAGGUAACACUCAGAGGCCAGAAAAGUCAACCUCUAAACAGACCAGUGCUAGAGGAAGUCGACCUAAGGUACCGGCUAGGGUUUAUGCGCUGGAUCAUCAGCAAAUACCAGAUGCAACUGAGGUGGUUGAAGGUACGGUUCCUGUCUUCCACCGUUUAGCUAAGAUUUUGAUUGAUCCGGGUGCGACUCAUUCUUUUGUAAACCCUAAUUUCAUGAAUGGAAUAGACUUGAAGCCAAUUAAGUUACCUUAUGAUUUGGAAGUUAAAACGCUUACUGGAGACAAAAGUUUAAUUGCUAACCUGGUAUAUAGGGAUUGUGAAAUCUGCGUUGGGGAACGAAAAUUGUUGGCCAAUUUGAUAGGCUUGGCAAUUAAGGGGUAUGAUGUGAUUUUAGAGAUGGAUUGACUAGCCCGUUAUAAUGCCCAGUUGAAUUGUAGGACAAAGAUUGUAGAAUUGGGUAUUCUAGGGGAGGCAACCCUGAAGCUGGAUGUGAGGGGUAAGUUGGCUUCGUCUGCACUUAUUUCAGGAAUUCGAGUUAGAAAAUUAUUAAGUAGAGGAGCUCAAGGAUAUUUGGCCUUCCUUAUUAACACCUCUAGUGAUAAUGUGAAUUUGGAGGACAUGCCUAUAGUGAAAGACUUUCUAGAUGUUUUUCCUGAAGAGUUAGAGUCUUUGCCCCCGAAACGGGAUAUAGCUUUUAAAAUUGAUUUGACCCCAGGAGUAACACCUAUUUCUAAGACGCCAUAUCGAAUGGCUCCUGCCGAAUUGAAAGAAUUAAAAUUACAACUACAAGAUUUGUUGGAACGAAAUUUUAUAAGGGAAAGUGAUUCACCGUGGGGAGCCCCGAUUUUAUUUGUUAAGAAGAAGGAUGGGAGUUUGAGACUGUGUAUAGAUUACCGAGGCUUAAAUAACGUUACAGUUAAGAAUAAGUACCCACUGCCCCACAUUGAUGAGCUAUUUGACUAAUUGCAAGGGGCGAUAGUAUUCUCGAAGUUGGAUUUGAGACAGGGUUACUAUCAAUUGAGAAUUUUGGAGAAGGAUAUACCCAAGACUACUUUUAACUCGAGAUAUGGGCACUUUGAAUUUGCCGCAAUGUCGUUUGGGUUAACGAAUGCACCUGCUGCUUUCAUGGAUUUGAUGCAUAGGAUUUUUAAACCUUAUUUGGACCAAUUUGUCGUGGUCUUUAUUGACGAUAUUUUGGUGUAUUCUAAGAAUAUGGAGGAUCAUGAGAAACACUUGAGGAUUGUUUUGCAAACUCUAAGGGAGCACCAAUUGUAUGCUAAGUUUAGCAAGUGUGAGUUUUGGUUAAAAGAAUUGACUUUCUUGGGACACAUAAUUUCUAAGGAUGGGAUUAAAGUGGAUCUAGCUAAAGUUGAAGCUGUUUCGAAGUGGAAACGACCGGAAAACCCUACCGAGAUUCGAAGUUUUAUAGGAUUGGCAGGGUAUUACCAGAGAUUUAUCCAGGAUUUUUCUAGGAUCGCUGGACCCAUGACUGAGUUGACCAAGAAAAGUGGAAAGUUUAUUUGGAGUCCUAAAUGCGAAGAGAGCUUCCAGGAAUUGAAAAGACGUUUGACUAGGGCACCAGUGUUAGCCCUACCGAAUGGAAAAGAUAGCUUUGUGGUCUACACAGAUGCUUCCAAGGAAGGAUUAGGCUGUGUUUUAAUGCAAAAUGACAAAGUGAUAGCCUACGCCUCUAGGAAAUUGAAACCACAUGAAGGAAAUUACCCGACCCAUGACCUAGAGUUAGCGGCUGUGGUAUUUGCUUUAAAGAAAUGGAGGCAUUACCUAUACGGGGUGACAUUCGAGGUUUUCACUGAUCACAAAAGGCUUAAGUACUUAUUUUCUCAGAAGGAGUUGAAUUUAAGGCAAUGUAGAUGGAUGGAAUUUCUAGAAGACUAUGAUUGCACGAUAAAGUAUCAUCCAGGAAAAGCCAAUGUAGUGGCUGAUGCUCUAAGUCGUCAAGUACAAGUGGCCGGAUUGAUGAUUAAGGAGCUUCACUUGUUAGAAGAAAUUAGUUAUUAGAAUCCUCGAUUGGAGCCGAGGAAAAUAAUCCUUGGGAACAUUGUAGUGAAUUCCACCUUGAUGAGACGUAUUAAAGAGUCUCAGGAAAAGGACCCUGAAGUGCAAAAGUGGGUGGAAAGUGUCAAAAAGGGAGAAAAGUCGGAUUUUGAUUUGGGAUCAAGUGGUAUUUUGAAGUUUCAGAAUCGGAUAGUGGUGCCAAAAGAUGAAGGGCUUAAGAAGGAAAUUUUAGAGGAGGCACACCGAUCGAAGUUUACGGUACACCCUGGAGGGAAUAAAAUGUACCAAGAUUUGAAGAGAUUGUACUGGUGGGAGAGCAUGAAAAAGGAAAUUUCCCAAUUUGUCCAAACCUGUUUAAUUUGUCAACAGGUUAAAGCCGAACAUCAGAAACCAUCAGGACUUUUGCAACCUUUGGAAAUACCUGAGUGGAAAUAGGAGAACAUCACUAUGGACUUUGUAUCAGGAUUACCGAGGACACAAAGAGGUCAUGAUGCGAUUUGGGUGAUAGUGGAUAGAUUGAUCAAAUCGACUCAUUUUCUGCCGAUUAACAUGAGGUACCCAUUGGAGAAGUUGGCCAAGUUGUAUUUGGAUGAGAUCAUUAGAUUACAUGGAACCCCUGUCAGUAUCGUGUCGGAUAGAGAUCCGAGAUUUGUUUCGAGGUUCUGGCAAAAGAUGCAAGAGGUGUUGGGGACUAAAUUGAGUUUCAGUACUACUUACCAUCCCCAGACCGAUGGACAGUUCGAGCGGACGAUUCAAACCCUUGAGGAUAUGUUGAGGACUUGUGUGUUGGAUUUUGGGGAGAGUUGGAACAAGUAUUUAACUUUGGUAGAAUUUGCUUAUAAUAAUAGUUACCACUCUUCUAUUCAAAUGGCCCCGUAUGAAGUACUUUAUGGUUGAAAGUGUAGGUCUCCGAUUUGUUGGGACGAAGUAGGUGAAUGAAAGAUCUUGGACCCGACUACAGUGCCAUGGAUUGAGGAAGCUAAUGAGAAAGUAAAGUUAAUACGUCAGAGAAUUCAAACCGCACAAAGUCGUCAAAAGAGUUACGCAGAUAACCGGAGGAAGGAUUUGGAGUUUACGGUUGGAGAUCUAGUGUUUCUCAAGAUCACACCUUUGAAAGCGAGCUUGAUGUCUGGAAAGGGGAAGAAACUACAACCAAGGUUCGUAGGGCCUUAUAAGAUUAUCCAGCGUGUAGGGAGUGUAGCCUAUAAGUUGGAAUUGCCACCGAGUUUAUCUCGGAUCCAUAAUAUUUUCCAUGUAUCCAUGCUUAAGAAGUACCAUCCUGACCCUUCUCACAUAUUGCAACCGGAAAAUAUUGAGAUUGAUGAGACUUUGACCUAUGAGGAGAAACCGGUGAAACUUUCGGAUAGAAAGGUGAAAGAAUUGAGAAAUAAGCAGAUACCUUUAGUAAAAGUUCUCUGAAGGAACCACGAGUUAGAGGAAGCGACUUGGGAAGUUGAAGAGGCAAUCCGAGGAAAGUAUCCAGACUUGUUCGCAGAUCAAGGUAAAUUUCGAGGACGAAAUUUUCUUAAGGGGGAGAGGAUGUAAAGACUCACAAAAAAAAUUAUUUAAUUUAAACUCCAAAUUCUAACUCAUUUAAUUAUUUAUUUGGUCAAAUGCUCCGAUUAUUAUUUUCUAACCUUUUUAGGCCUAAUUAAAUGUAUCCAUAGCUUAGUUAUAUUUUUAAAGUGACUCGUUUCAAAAUUUAAUUUCUGAAGGCUCGUUAAGUGAAAAUAGUAAAUACGCGACUGGAGUAAAUAAUCGAUUCGAGAAUACAAUAAGCUUGUAAAAUUGGAGACUUGUGCAUUAGUCUCAAAAUAGGUAUUUUUACAUUUAAGUGUUUAAAGGUUAAUUAGUUAUAUUACCGUCAUAGGAACUUCUUAGAAAUUUCACUAUCUCAAGCUUAAAUUGGAAAUACGCGUUUUUACGCACGUGAGUAAUUGAGGAACCUUAGGCCAUUAUUUUGGGACUAUUAAGAGUGAAUAAUAAUAAUAUAAAUGUAAGUGCAUUAGAGGUUUAGUGCACUAGCGCAAUAAACUCGCGAGAAAUCGAGCACGAAACACACGCGUACGUGCAUUAUUUUAGUGGACAGCUUUGAGUACAAUUGUGCCACACAUUUUAAGUUUACCUUAGAAGCUCAUACCAUCAGCAUUUCCUUCCUCUCAUACUCACAAACAGCCGAGCAACAAAGGAAGAGCAAGACCAGAAAAUUCCUCCACUCUCUCUCCUCAAUUCCUUGCUCAAUCACUUCCAAAUUUUACAAGCAACCCUCAAAUCACUUGGUGAUCAAGAUAAGCUAGGAAAGGAGCUGCCUCUCACGGUUUUUCUGCAGCUCAAAGUGACCGAAAAUUUCUGUCUUGGCUCUCUAAGAAAGUAAGUAAUGAUCAACCACUUAAUUCUUGUUUUAUGGAAGAUAGAAUACACUCAUGAGCUCUUGGAUUCUCAUGGGCAGCUUUAAAUUGUUGGAAAAUUAGUGAGUGGGCUCUAUGAAAUCCCACAAUGACUUUGAUGAUCUGAUUUGAUAGGAUUGAAUGCUAAUUGUGUUGAUUAAGUGCUAAUUUAGUAGAGUUAAGUGGCAAAAAUGAAAAGGAAGUCAACUGAGGAGUUGCAUGUGAAGGUGCCGAUUCUGCCCUGCUAUUUUCGUGCAUUUUAGUGUACUUUCUUGAAGUCCAAUUGACUUUUUUCUGAUGCAAAUGUGAAAUAUAGGUUGUGUUUAAAGUUUCCUCAAAAUUUUACGUGAUUUGGGUGGGUGCAUGUUGAGAUUUAGAAAAUCUGUCAAAACUGGGAAAUGAUUCCCGUCACUACCAGACAGCCAUCUUGUUUCAGCUAUAAUUCAUCGCUCCGAUGUUGGAAUCGAGUCCCGUUUGCGGCAAUGGAAACUAGACAUUCCCAAAUUUCAUUUGGUAUAAAAUUCAAUCCCUAAUUCCACCCGAGUACCCCAUACCAACCGUUUAAAGAUGACUGUCCUGUUUCUCUGUUUUCUUGGAGUGAAGUUCAGAACCUACAACUUGAGGCUCGAAUUUGAGCUAGUUGUGUGCUGAAUUUCAAAAUGAUUUCUUCUGUGAAAUUAUAUUUUUAUGAAUGUAUUUUCCAACGCCACCAACCAUGCUCAAUUCUGAGUUGAAUUGAGUGAUUUUUCAUCAAAAUACGAAACCUGCUCUGUUCUUGAAAACCCUAAAUUUUGGGCAGAAUUGAUGCUAGACUUGGUGUGGACUUGCCAAUUGAGUUUCUUGGAGUUAAAAAAAUUACCAAAUGUACCACGAAUGUUCCUUAGGAUUUUCCUACACCAAUGAACCUUGUUUGAAGGAUUUUCCUUGGCCAAAUGUUUGGAAUGGAAAACAAAAAGCUCAAGACAGUUUUGCCUUAGGAUUCUUCGAAACUUGGGUUGUUUGGUUGACUACCUUUCCGAAGUUAUUUCUCCAUGAAAUUUGGUAGAGGGACAACCCUUAUAUGCUAGUAUUAUACUGCUAAUUAUGGUUUUAUUCUGAGGCCAUUUAAUGGCUCAAAUAAAUUACCAAAGUUCAUGAGUCGAGUUUGGAAAACCCAUGUUUCACAAGGGAAUUUUGGUAAAUUUGAGUUGCCAUAUCUUAGUACUCAAAACUCCGUUUCUCAUUCCGCUUGUUUUGUUGUAAACUUGGAUUGCGACUCUAAAAGAGUUCCAAAUUUCAAAAGCUAGUUCCAAUCAAGUGAAUUUUGCCGAAUUUUCAAAGUUGGCCAAAAACCAACCUAAAUCUGCCUUAUGAACCAAAAUAGCGACUUUGAGCUUAUUUUUAAAUAUUUUCCAUUUGGAAUCUUAGAGAAGUGUAUUCUAGGAACUUUUAGUACCUUGGAAGAGGUUUCCAACAGUACCAAAUUUUCCAAUUUUUGACUUGUAAACGUGAGAUACGAUUUUUCUAAUGUAUCGUAUCAAAACUGAAAUUUUCCCAAUUCCAAGGAAAUGGAAUUUUCAAGUACUCCUUAAUCCUUCAAUAUUACUUGAACGAUUUAUACUUAAUUUCCAAGAUGAAAACUAAAUUUCUCCUGUACUUUGAAACCCCACUUGAGAGCCUCGAUUUAGGAUAAGUUAGGCUCGUUUCACGAGACUUUCUAAGAUUGUACUAUGGUACGAUCUUCUUUAAUAGUAGGGGUUUGUGAAUGAUAGUUUAUUAUUAUUUUCUCAGGCGCACACGAGAACCUUCAAGAGGAUCCUACAGUGAACACCUAAAGCUCCGAGGGACAUUUCUUUCUCAUUACUUAUAUUGGUGAGUGUCAAGUGCAUGUUUACUUGCACUUCGCUUGAGAUCUGUUGCUUACAUGAACUCUACUUGAACCUGUUGUUACUUGAACUGUACUUGUUGGGGAAAGUGUGUACUUUACCGCACUUUAUCUCCUUUACUUGGAUCAAUACAUGACUUGCUACAUGAAUUACAUGAAAUUGACAUGAAUUACGUGAAAUUGAUGGAUUUUACAUGUACAUGACCUAAAGUCGAAUGCAGAGAAAUCUCUUCGGCUAAAACUUGAUUUGUUUCUGAAAACCUGACCCGUGGGGAUGCCCAAAACCCAAUGGUUUUACCUCGUAAUCUCGUAGCCAAUCGUGAGGUCUUGCUCGGGAGAACUUGGUAAAUCUUGGGACCUGAAGCUUGAUCUUUUGAGAUCUUGCUUGGCAUACUUGUAUAGUAUCGCCUUUACAUGCCUAUUGGUUACGGAUCCGAGAGGGUGAAAUGAUGGAUGGAGGGAUGUAAGUAGUGAUCUACGGAUUGGAAAUACCCACCGGUUGACGGAGAGUCAUCGCGGGAAGGUAUACGAAUGACCCUGGCAAUGCAAGUGGAACUUAGCUCUUGAGAGCUACCAUAUCCUUGAAUUGUUUCUGUUUACAUUUCAUUGGAAUUGGUAAUUACUUGUACUUUAUUAUUUGACCUGUUAAUUGGGCUUGUUACUUGAACUAUUUGCUUGCAUGUGUGUCCUUGGCCUCACGAGCGUUUCGCUCACCCUGUAGAUUUGUUUUCCUUAACAGGAUUGGGCAUGGAAUGAUACUUGGAGGAACUCUUUUGAUACACUUCUGGCUUAGGGUUUUAAUAUAUUUUGGGCUAGACCUCUUACUGGUUGUACUUCGGAAACCUAAUAUAUGGUUUGGAUAUUUGAUGUACCCGGAUGUAGUAUAUUUUGGGUAAUGAUGUACCUUUUGGGAAUUUAAUGUAAUGAUUGGAUAAGCGUUAUGUAUAUUGUUAAGUUUGGGAGUUUUCCGCACUUUCUUACUUAUCUAGUGUUGUUGAAUGAUUUUGCUUUAAGCUUGAAUGGAAACUGCUUGAGUCCUGACGAGAGUUGGGCAGACGUUCCGUGGAUACCCUCUGGUUCGCCUUAGGGAGAAGUGGGGACGUCACAUUAUCUCACUCGACCUACUAAAAUGAUAAAUUUUUACCAGACACCAAUUUACUUGAUUACUUGUGCAUGUUGUAAGUUCUAAGCUGAACUGGGCCCUGCCCUUGGUUACUAACCUACUCGAGCCAGGACUGGACUCGGUCGGGUAGGUUGGAACCCUGGGCACCGUUUCGGUAUACUCGAGUAUUACCAUUGGAGGGAUAAGGUGAUGGCCAGACAAUACCAAGGGGACCGGAAGUUAUAAGGUGAAGUUGACCGAAAUGGUUCUACUGGAACACCGUAUAUUUCAAUGUGUGUUUAUUUUUGCAUACUGAUAACUGUAUCAUGCUAAUGUGCCAAGAUGCAAUAUUGAACCAUGCUUGUGUUAUGCUCAAAUUACUCGUACAAUGAUAACUAUCUCAUGUUAAUGUAUCAAAUAUGCAACCUGGAACCAUACAUGUGGUAUGCUCAAAUUACUUGAUUUAUUAGAACUGCUAGAGUGUUUUGGAAUCUCACUGGGCUGUGUAGCUCAUUCCACGUUUUUGUUUUCCUUAGCAGGGUUCGAGACCAAGAGUGCUCGUGAAUGGUACUAGAUUGUUUUCUUUUGAAGACCUUAAGUUGUUUUAUAACGGAUGGUUGUAGUACAUUUUCUUUUGGAUUGUAUUAGGCUUGAAAGCUAACUAAUUGUAAGCAUGCAAUAUUUUGGAGUACUUUAAUUAUAUGUUGAAAUUAUUUGAAGUAUUUCGAGCUUUUGAACUAUGGAUUGUAGUGAGUCCUGGCAAGAGCUGAGCAGGCGUCCUGCUGAUACCCUCUGGUUCGCCUUAGGGAGAAGUGGGGGCGUCACACUCACUCCUUCAACCUAUCAACUUUCCAACCUCUUUCACCAUAAAACUCGGCCACUAACAUAUGGGGGGGAUUGAGCAGUGUAAUAGCGUCUGCUAGCGGCGAGUCCGAGAGCCAUCGAUCAUACCAAAAAUCAACAAACCCUCUACAUACACACCAUCGGAUCUGAUGUUUUCUCCAGUCGCCUCGAAGACAAGGCCGGUCUAUGCACUUGAACUAUAAAGGGGUGACUCUCUCUAAUGUAUUUAGCAUGCAUAAAUUCUACCCAAAUAGACUCCUUUUCCGUAAUCUCCACACAACUUGCAAGCAAAUGCUAAACUCAUAUCUUCAUAGGAAUGAAAGCCAAGUGCUCCCUCUUCAGUAGGAUAAUAGAGUUUCUCCCACGCUGUCCAAUGAAUACUCUUGACUUCAACCGACUUAUCCCACAAGAAAGAGUUACAAAUUUUCCCCAACUUGAUGAAUACUACCUUGGGAGGCUGUAGCACCUGCAAUUAAUACAUAGGGAUUGAACUAAGCAAUGUCUAAGAAGCACCAACUUACCCCCAGGGGAUAGUAGCCGCGCACUCCAAUGAAUCAACCUUUCUCGUAUUUUAGCCACAAUCGAAUCAAACAAGAUACAAGUAGCUCGAUCCCUAGCAAUAGAUGUCCCCAAAUAGGUGAAGGGGAAAAACUAUUGCUGGAAGCCUAGUUUCGAAACCACAAGUGUGCAUGUUCCUCCGAUGCCUGCUUCGAGAUAAUGAAUGAACUCUUGUCUGCAUUAAUCCUCUACCCGGAAUAAGACUGAUAACGCUCAAACAAGCAGGUCAGUGCCUCCAGACAAUCGCUUAAGCAUCUAGUAAAAAUUAAAAUAUCGUCUGCGAAGGCUAGAUAGGGUAUUCGAGACCCAGCCGACACAAGAUAUCAGUCAUCUUUUUGGCCAAACAAUCUUUGUAACCCCUGCCCUAGGAGUUCAGCUACCAACAAAAUGGCCGGAGAGAGUGGAUCAUCUUGACGAACUCCUCUUGAAGAUUUAAAAUAGCCGGCAAGACAACCAUUAAUCAAUAUUGAGAACCAAUUAUUGGACAACGUUUCGAAAAUUAAAUCUAUCACCCACUUCACGAAGCCAAAGCUUCUCAUCAUAAAAAUUAAGAACUUCCACUCCACCCUAUCAUAUGCUUUCUCCAUAUCUAACUUCAGUAAUAAAUUUGGGCUACCCAACCUAUGUAAAUCCAACGCCAAUUCUUGUACCAGAAGGAUGUUAUCAACUAUACCCCUUCCCGGAAUGAAGCCAGACUACCAAGGAGAGAUUAGUUUGGGAAACAAUGAGUAAAGCCGAUUAGCCAAAAUUUUUUAAAUAACUUUAGAGCUGAAAUUACAAAGACUAAUAGGUCGAAAUUCUCUCAAUUGAGAUGCCCCAGCAACCUUUGGGAUAAGAAUUAAUAUAGCAGUAGAGAAACCCCUUGGUUGUUGAGCUCCCUUAAAGAAAUCCUGAAUGGCUUGCAACAAAUCAUCAUGAAUGACAGCCUAACAACCUUGACAAAAACUUAUUCCAAACCCAUCCGGCCCAGAAGUACUAUCCAUCGACAUCGAGAAGACCACUUCCUUCAACUCCUCCAAUGUUGGCAUCUUUUGCAAUAACUCAUUUUCUUCCUGGCUCACUGUUGGCAAUGUAACAACUAUUACCGGUUUGACUCUACCCUCCCGCGCCAAAGCAAAUAAUUUAGCAAAAUACUGGGUAGCCGAGUUCUUAAUCCCCUCCUCAUCUUUUAUCCAUUGCCCUGCUUCCUCUCUGAUUCUAGCGGUAAAAUUCAUACUCGUUCGCUGCUUAACCACUGAAUGAACAUACAUAGUAUUUGCAUCUCCCAUUUGGACCCAUCUAAUAGCAGAUUUUUGUUUCCAAUACUCACAUUCAAUAGCCAAAGCACAUGCAUGAUGAGCCGAGCCUCACCCAAUGCAGCUCUCAAAGCCUCAUCCCUCACCAAGUCAAACUCUUGUUCCCUUAUCUGUAGAUCUUCCCCUGCCUCUCACACAUUCUGGAAAAUAUUCCCAAACACCUGUGCACGCCAACUUCAAAGCUUCAUCUUAGUAAUCAUUAACUUCUGAUGGAAGCCUGGCAUUCCAUCUCUAUUAACUGGAGUCUGCCAAGCUUCUUUAACCACAUCCAAAAAUCUGGGAUGAUUCCUCCACAUAUUUAAAAACCUGAACACUGAACCUCGAGUCGGCUCAUGACCACAUUUAAUUAAUAAAGGAGCAUGAUCUAACCUUCCUUGUAGCAAGUGAGAAAACGGAUCCAACCAAGCCUUAUUCACCAAAGCCCUAACUAAACGUUGCCACACUAUUCCAUUUUGUCCCUAUAAAUGCUAGACCAUCAAAAUCUAUUUCUGACAAUAUGCAAUUAAAUACUACAUCAUUGAACUCCUCCAUGGUCCACGUAUUUGGAGGGGCCCCACCUAACCUUUCGGCAGUAUCGAAAAUUACAUUAAAAUCUCCAGCUACUAUCCAUGGACCCGACAACGUAUCAUAAAUGUCUGUCAUUGCUCUCCAAAGAUUUCUUCUGCCCACUCUUGUACACUUUGCAUAAACUGCCGAAAACUUGAAAGAAAACCCAACCUAAGUCACUUCUAUAUGGACCAAUUGCUUACCCCUUUCACUAAAAACAAUUGAUAAAUUGUCAUUCCGGAAGAUCCAAAUCUUCCCAUCCCAGAAAGCUUGAGAACUAGAAAAUCGAAGUCUACGAGUAAUAGAGUCCAAUUGCACAACAUCCGUCAUAGGUUCCAACAAAACCAACAUCCACAUAGCAUUUUGGAAGCACAUUUUAUGAAGAAAACGCUGAGAAGCAGCUUGAGAGGUACCUCGUAUAUUCCACCCCAAGAUAUUAAUUGGAUUAAUCAUUGAAACACUAACGAUGAUUUAGCUUGCGCAAGAAACUGUUGCAGCUUCUAAUUGUAAUUAGUAGGUCGCCCUAAUUUUUUGGCAAGGUGAUUGAGCAAUUCUACAUCCUUAGCAUCCAUGACAACCUCACGAGGAAGAUUUAAGUCCUGCAACUCUAACUUAUGUAACUAUCGUUCCGUGAUAGUUUGAAAAGCAUCGAAUUGAGUUACCCACCCCUUCGAAUUGAGUCACCCAUCCUAUAACUUGAACUCCCACGUUGCAGCAAAGGAGGAGAAGGACUUCCAAUUGAAUGACUUCUGCAUGGUUGUUUAAUCAUGACCCGAGCCAAGUCGCACUUUGAGUUUGCCAGAACCGAAAAGGAGUUUGACACGCGCACCAAAUUCGAGUUUGAUUCUAGGUUAGUAAUAGCUCCCUCGACAUGUUGAUCUCCCACAUUGACAGGCAGCCAUUAUUUUGGUUGUUGAGCAGAAUUCUUGAUCGCUGCUGGACCCAAAAUUUUCCCAAGCAUAACCUCAUUGCUAUGCAGUUGUCCCUAGUUUGCUGCAAGCUUUAAGAUUUCUACAGCCGCAAACGAAUGUGACUCGCAAACCCUUUUCAACCCAGCUUCUGAAUCAGUUCCUUCGACUUGCUGAUCCCCACUUUGUCACCUAGCCAAGGCAUAGCCAUACUGCUAUGCGUUUGUCCCUGAUUUGCAGCAAUCCCCGUCCACAACACCACAACUUGCAGCUCCAAAUUCUGUGACGUUUCUCCAGUUUCUACGACUAGUUUAUUCGCGGCUUCCAAAUUCACAGGACCAUCCAUGAGAGCUAUAGGUAUCUUCUCUCUUUUCUCCGAAACCACAAUCUCCUUCCCCUUUCCCUUGUCUGUGUUAACCUAUGGCACAUAAAAUUGGGGAGUCACUUUGUCCAAUUUCCGGUGCAGCCAUUGUAAGGACUCAAAUUUUUCUUAUUUAUAUUUUAGUUUACUGGCUUAAUUAAUUAUUUACUCACCCAUUUUCUCUGAAUAAUUUAUUUCAAUCAUUUUAAACUUAUUUACAUGGAAUAAUGUCUCAAUUAUAUUUUUAACACGUCUCGUUAGUAAAAUUAAUUUUUUUAGGGCUCGUUUAGCGAGAAAUAAGGAAUACAUGUUUUUCGAGGCUAUGUUCAAUCCGAGAGUACAUUAGUCUUGGAGAAUUAAGAAUGAUCAAUAAUAGAUUAAGAAAAUUUAAUUGAGAGAUUAGAUGUGAGUAAGUUAAAAUUAAGCUUAUACCGUGCGCGCGUCGAAAGUUUUUCGAAAGACGCGCUGGUACAAAUUAAUUGGAGAUUUGAGGAAUUAAUACUAGACUCAUGCGAGAACUCAUGUUUUUAUUUCUAAAAUAGUUAUUUUCAUGAUUAUUUACCCUAGUAUUAGUUAGUUAUAUCAUCGUUACAAGAAUUCUUUAGAAUUUCGCUCUAUCGCGCACAAAUCGAAAGUACGCGUUUUCGCGCGCGCGAUUAAUUUAGGGACUUUAGACCUUUCUUUUUAGACUAUUAAGUGUGAAUAAUAAUAGUAUCAAUGGAAGUGCAUUAGAGGUUUAGUGCACAAGUGAAACAAAUCCGAGAGGAAACGAGCACGAAUCGCGCGCGUACGCGCACUAUUCUUAGUUGACUUUUGAAGGAAUCUUAACCACAAAACCUCAAGCUUCUCAAGGAAGCAUCACACCAGAUCAAAACCCUUCUCUUCUCACCUCAAGUGCCGGCUGGAACUCUCUUUUCUCUCAUCUCAAGUGCCGGCCAAAAACAAGAAAAAAAAGAAGGAAAGAAAACUCUUCAUUUCUACCUCAAAUCUUACUCCAAAUCACCUCAAAUUUUGCAUCCAACUUGCAAAUCACUUGGAGAUUCACUUGGACUAGGAAAGGAGCACCAUUUCCACGGUUUCUUGGAGCUUCUUAGUGGCCGAAAUUCUGGUCUUCAACAUCUAAGAAGGUAGCAAAUGAUCUAACCCUUGAAUCUUAGCUUUUGUAAGUUAGAUUACACUUAGAAGCUUGUAGCUUCAUGUGGGUAGCUUUGGAUUGUUGAAAAUCAUGUGAGUAGGCUCUAUGAAAUCCCACAAUGGACUUGAUGAUCUGAUUGGAUGAGUUUGGAUGUUAUUUUUGUUGAUUAAGUGUUAAUCUAGUGGAUUUAAGUUGAAAGAGUGAAAAGAAAAUCAAAGAAAGUGAUGCAUGUUGAAGGGCCGAAUCUGCCCUGUUUUUACCGAACCCUUGGUGUGAUUUUUUUGUGGUUAAAUUGCCUUUAUUUUGAUGUAGAUAUGUUUUAUAGGUUGUGUGGAAAGUUUCCACCAAAAAUCACUUGAUUUGGUUGGCUAAAAGUUGAAUUUCGAAAUGAUUUCAAAGCUGGAAAACGUGUACAGAGGUGCUCUGGCAGCGAAUUUUAAAUGACUAUACCUCUUUGGUUUGAUGUCGAAAUCGAGCGUCGUUUGCAGUAUUAGAAACUAGACACUUCCAGUUUUCUAACGGUAUAAAAUUUAUCCCCUGAUUCAACCUGAGUGAACCGUACCAACUCUUCAAAGUUACCUGUCCUGUUUCACAACUGUACUAGAGAGACAGUGAGGUGCUGGAAAUUGUUACUUGAAUUUGAGCUAGCUAUGGACAGAAUUUCAGAAUGAUUUCUUCUGAGAAAUUGUAGCCCUAUGAAUCUAGUUUCCAACACUACCAACCAUGCCCAAUUCCAAGUUGAAUUGAGUGAGUUGUGGCCAAAUUAAGAAACUGUCUUAGUGAUGAAAAACCCUGUUUUUUGCUAGUUGAAUGCCUUAAUUUGAAUUGGGACUUGUUAUAUUGAAACUUUAGAUGUCAUCACCUACCAAAUGUGUAUUGGAUGUUCUUAGACCUUUCCUUUAUAAAUGGACCAGAUUUGAAAUGAUUUCAUUGGUCAAAAGUUAGAAAAACGGAAAAUGGAAGUACAAGGCAGAUUGGAACCCUGGGACACCGUUUCGGUAUACUCGAGUAUUACCACUGGAGGGAUAAGGUGAUGGCCAGACAAUACCAAGGGGACCCGAAGUUAUAAGUGAAGUUGACCGAAAUGGUUCCACUGGAACACCAUAUCCUUCAAUGUGUGUUUAUUUUUGCAUAAUGAUAACCGUUUCAUGCUAAUGUGCCAAUGUGCAACCUCGAACUAUACCUGUGCUAUGCUCAAAUUACUCGUACAAUGAUAACUAUCUCAUGUUAAUGUGCCAAAUAUGCAACCUGGAACCAUACAUGUGGUAUGCUCAAAUUACUUGAUUUAUUAGAACUGUUAGAGUGUCUUGGAACCUCACUGGGUUGUGUAGCUCAUUCCACGUUUUUGUUUUCCUUAACAGGGUUCAAGACCGAGAGUGCUCAUGAAUAGUACUAGAUUGUUUUCUUUUGAAGACCUUAAGUUGUAUUAUAACGGAUGGUUGUAGUACAUAUUCUUUUGGAUUGUAUUAAGCUUGAAAGUUAACUAAUUGUAAGCAUGCAAUAUUUUGGAGUACUUUAAUUAUAUAUUGAAGUUAUUUGAAGUAUUUCGAGCUUUUGAAUUAUGGAUUGUAGUGAGUCCUGACGAGAGAUGGGUAGGCGUCCCGCGGAUACCCUUUGAUUCGCCUUAGGGAGAAGUGGGGGCAUCACAGCCGUGAAGGUCGAAUAACAGGGUUCUUUUUUAAGAAAUCACUUUCCAAAAGUCCUAUUUGCUCACAAAAGCCGCAGAAAUCUGGUCAAUAAUCAUACUCCACUUUCUGCCAAUGACCAAAAUCGUCAACCCCAAUCCAAAUACAAUUCACUAGAGGCUUCGCCACAUCGAACUCAAUCAAUAACCAUGCAAUUGAGGGGCGCUUAAGAUUGGAUGUUGCCAAAUCCACUUGUAAAGGUCUACCCAUCAAAGAGCCUAUUUUGAAUAAAAGUUUCUUGUCGAAAAAGGGCAAUGGUUAUCCCGGCAGCAUCACCCACACUGGUGCAAUGGAGUCCUAAUUAAUUUUAAAGUCAAUCAUCCAUUUAGAGAUUGUCAUUGGGACAUUCGAUGUAAACCAUGUACAUCGAACAAACAGUCUUGUGUAAUCCUCUUCCAAGGAUCUUUGGAGGAAGCCACAAGACCCCUCCUCAGUAUAUCCGCAAAGGACUUUUCCGGAGGGCGCGGAGGACCUCCAGUCAAACAUUCAGGCGGCCAAGAGGCCGCCAUAGAUGUACUACAGAACCCGACAGCUCCUACGGAACCCUAAUUCUCUUAGAUUAUUUAUCGAAACAAUUUAGAGAUAAAAUACUUGUUCGUAAUUUAGAAUUUCAUCCUAUUACCUUUCAUCCUCGAUUAGGACCAAAAUUUAUUGACUUGAUUUUGUAAGAGAUGUAAAGUUAGCAUUUCAAAAGUAAAGGAUAAAAAAUUCAUUUGGCGAAAUGUGAUAGACAUUUUAAACUAACUUUCCUAUUAGUUAUGCUUCUCUGAAAUACUCUAUUAUUCUUGAAUUCUCUUUUUCUGAUUGCAAUAGACCAAAAAAAUAAUGUCAGAGAUGAAAGUAUUAGAGUUGUCAAAGGUUCAGGGGUGACAUGUAAAAAAACCAUUUAUUAAUUGAAUAGCAUAUUUCUGUUUUGCUCACAAAUUGCACAUGGGUUGUAUUCAUGGUUAGUCAAGUGGAUUAAGUUCUCAAAAGAUAAUAUUUCAGACUAAAUGUUCAGACUCUGAAGGAUAAUGGACAUUGAAUUCCCUUUAAAGCAUUAUUUUCUUUAUCUUCUUCCUCUACCUUCCCUCUAUCAGAUGUAUAAGAUUCAAUUAUACAUUUUUGCAAUGUAUGUGCCUUUUCGUAGUUUUCAUGCUUGGGUAUUAAGAGAAAAAGCAAGAAAAAGGAAGGGUAAGAGAAGAAAACGACAAAAUUUUGGUGUUGGUGAGGGGGGAAACACUCCACCAUCAUUUACAGUGAAACUACACAAUCUAGACGCAAAAUGCAACUUGUUGAGAGAGUUGAUUUGCCGAAGAGGAGAUCCACGAGACAAACAAAAGGUAGCGCAACAUGUGAAAUUGUGAAUCACUCAGGUAAUAAACAUGUGACGUUUGAUAAGCGUCAUCACUUAGUUAUCAUUUUCAUAUUUUGACAAGCGAAGAGACAAGGAGACAAAGUUGAAAACAGAUAAUGCAACUUACAACAAAUUAAUCUACCUUAUUUUGAACGAUGCAAGAAGAACGAUCGACAGGUGCUAGGGGUUUUGGGUCCUUUGCAGCUGUAGAAGUCGCUUUCCACAAAUGUCAUUGUUGCGAAAUCGUAAUUCACAUUCACGGUCGUCAAAUGCAAGUGGCAAAAGUUUAUGUUUCAUGAAAGAUAGAUGCAACUAUUAAAACACAGAAAUUAACAGUGAACGGAAUAAUACGCUUAACAUUCUCUAACACCUAAAAUACAAAUACCAGCCUGAAGCUAAGAUCAAAAUUACAUAUUUCCAACACAUAUUUACAACUUCAAAGGCAGCUACAACAGAUGCGUGUCAGCAUAAGAGGCACAAAAAAAGUCAUGGAAGAAAUUUUGAUCUUCACACAUCCCAAGGUUUAAAUGGUCUGUCUGGAGGAGAGAUGCUCUAGAAGCAUUAGAUGCAAAACAAAAACAAGAUUUAAGUAAAUGUAUCCUCGCGGUCCCCCUCUGCAGUCUCACCCUCCUCCAAAUUGCUAAACUCCAAGAAAUGAGUUGGCCGAUGAUCCUCCUGAUAGUAUUCCCUAGGCGUUCCCAGUUUGACUCCAUACUUCAUGCUUACAGUAUGCUUUACGCCCAUGAAGUUGUAAUUCCAUGGUCCGUUAUCCGGAAUCUGGAAAAUUAGGAUGCAGAAAGAUCGCAUUAGAUACAAUAACAAGUACCAUGAAAUAUGGAAUUAUAUCAAAGAAAAUCAUUAUAGAAGAAUUAUGUAUCACCAGAAAUAUCAAGCACAUUCUUACCAUGUAAAAACCAAAGAAACGAUCGCUUAGGAGCAUCUGGACCUUCUCAUAGUGUGUUGGCAAGUAACCAUGAGGAUUACUUCCUGUAUCCUUGUUGGCGCGUCCCCACUCAUAGCCAGAUGGCGUCAGCUUAUAUGCAGUUAAUGAGCACGACCCAGGUGUAAAACUACAAGUUAGAAUAAUGCACUUCUCUCCAUCCCAUUGCUUGUUGUUCUCCAAAAUUCGAGCAUGAUUUGUUAGAUCCUGAAUUAGCCAAAUAAAAAUUAUAGACAACAAAACGAUGCAUGAUAUAAAGACACAGAGCAUCACAAGGACCUGCUCACUAAACAAAUGUAAAAACAGAACUAAAUCCAACCUGAGGUGACAAUUGAGGAAGUUCAUUUGGCUGGGUAUGCAUCCAUCCCAAAGGCUCCAAAUCAUUAAGGAAGUCAUGCUCUGGAAGAGCUGACGGCAGAUGCACUUGCUGAUGAGUUCCCCAUUGUGGUGGCAUGGCAAUGCAACGAAUUUCCUUUACCUGAGGAUUGUCAGGAGGGCUAAUGCCAUACAAAUAACCUGCAAUUUGAGUCCGUAAGUCGGCAAUGCAGAUGAACUUCUUCAAGAUGUUUUUGGGCAUUAUGUAAGUGUAACCAGUUUCCUGCAAAGGCAGCAUCACAAAUGCAUCAUCAAAAUUGAUCCUAGUUAUUAAAAAAAGGGAAACAAAAAAAACUGCUACUGCUAUGAUUUAUACCCUUGGAGUGGGAAGCACAUAAUUACCUUUAUAUCCUCAGAAUUAACAUAAAUGUGAUUCACUCGAAGAUAAAGAUUUGUCGCCGAAAUUGCUCUAACACGCCAGUCAGUUUUAGACCCAAAUGCAGCUUGCUCAUAUGGGCUUGUAGUUGUAACAAUCAGUUCAUCCCCAUGUACAUUUGUGGUUCUUGUGGUGACUGCUGUCAGUUGACUUGCUUCCUUAGCCUAAAACAACAUAUUGCGUUAAAUUCCACAAUAGCAUGCAGCUGAUUACGAAUCACGCAACUACAAAUAACUAGAUAGGACACAACCUAAACACUUAUCACAAACAAACGCAAAUGUCACCUGCUUUUCUAUCUCUGCAAUUUGUUGUCGCUGCUGAGAAGGGGGAGUAAUUUCAGCUCCAAGGAUUAUAUCACGGAUCUCUGACUGUGUAAGUGCUGAAGUGUUCACAUUGUUCUUCUUGGCAUAAUCCGACAAGAUGAGAUCCCUCAAAGCAACCUCAACCUAUAUAACAGAAUAAGUCCAUCCUCAAUUUGAUUCAAAGAAAAGGUCCAGAGGGGAACCCUCUUUCUACUACGACUAUUGUCAUUUUCUUUUUCUUUUUUUUUAAUUGGGCCUUGGGUUGUCUUUCUAUUCUUUAUUUCUUUUUUUAUUAGGGGAAUUGUUUCGGUAAAGUAAAUUUACCUUCAUCCACUGAUCAUCUGUAAGAGAGGGCCAAAUAUGAUGCGGUUCAGUAACAAUUGUCUUGUCUGGCUUCAGUAACAUCUUUGCCUUCUCAUUGUUUACAUGAAGUGCGCGCAAGAUCAAGAUCAAUCUGGAGAAAGCCGUGUAUGAAGAAAUACUUUUAAGCCAAUCAUCAUAGAUGUUGAACAAGACCAUUUGUGGUUCUGUGGCUUUCAGGAUCAGAUCACCAAAUUUUUCAAUUUUCAAGCAUGCUUGGAAUGGCAGCUGAAGCUCACUUCCUUUAAUGACAAUAUUAGGAAAAUCCAGUAGGUGAACCUCCAAGGGAUCCAACAUUCCCUUCCGAGUGACAAUUAUCUGCUUUGGCUGUUCUUCCACCGGUAAAGAACGCACCAGGGCAGCCACUUCUUCAGCAGUCUUCCACUUGGCCAGCUGCCCUAAACGCUUUUGCCCAGCCCAAACACUCGUGUGAAUAACCUGCAGAAGUAAACAUCAGUCUGAUACCAGAAGAUCAAAGUGAAGACCACAAGAAAUAAUGUCAAACAACAAACCUUAAGAAAUAGCUGUCCUGUCCUCGGAUUGAAAAUGAAGAUGGCACCAUUGAUGGGUUUCGUCGUGAGAUUGCCUUCAAAUGUCUUGUGGAUGGUCACUCUGUAGACAUUAGUGUCAUCAACAAACCAGAUUAUCUGGUUACUGAAGAUUUCACCAUAGUUUUGAGAUGACAGGUAUGGCUCUGUUGGCUCUGAAGAAUACAAUUGCAAACCUUUCCUUAUCCGUUCCCUCAGAACAUAUAAAGCAGGAUUUGACUGCAUAAAACAAGAAGCCAGUUAGCGAUCUUUGCAAGAACACUAUCAUUAAUGAAUCAAAUGAAAAUAAAAUCCUAACAAGAUCUAACUAGAGUCCAAAAUUCAAAGCACCUUCAUGAUUUUGUUCAUGGCCUGAGCAAGCAACGGUUUAGAGCCAGGGAACCAGUUACCAAAGGCAGAAUGCAGGUUGUAAGCAAGAUCAAUUCCAAUCAUAACCCCUGUGAAGAGAAAAAUAACAUAUUAAGAUUAAUUUUUAAAAAAAAAGAAAAGAAGAAGAUAGCAAUAAAUUUUUGUUGACAUACCAGUGGGUGAAGGAUAUAUAGACAUGUUAUCUGUUGUGUAAUCCAUAAAUUUUGCCCUUGUAUACCUCUCAAUGUCAUGAGAGUCAUAAUCACCCCAACGAAGUUGAACAUCUAUCCAAUAUUUAUUGCUAGCCUUCUGAUCAAACACAUCCUUUGACUCAGCCACAAGACUAGGCUUUGACAUAGGCCACCUAUGGGCUGCAAAUAAAAGAAUGUCAGCACACGAGCUGUUCAUUUUAUAGCUUUUCCUUGGAUGGAUUGUUUCCUUCUGCACUGUCUCAAUUUCCAAUGCAUCAAGUUCUUGAUCCAAGACCUGGCAAAGAUCCAUCACAACACUUUCAUGAAUCUUCUGCCACAAGUGCGCACGGAAAAUCUGUAUUAGAGAUAUCUUCAAAGUUGGGAUCUUUCCAUGCAUAAAUAUCCCUGUCAAAUCCAGCUGCACUUGGAAACCAACAUAAACAUUUGCUCGAUUUAUUGUAGGUGACCACCAAAGUGUAAAUCUACGAUUAGGAAUUUGAUUAAGCCCAGAUCUUUGUGCAUUGGUCAGCUUCUUAUACUUCAUGGAUUCUUCAAAACCUGAUGCCUUUUCCCAGAAGAGACCCUCCCAAGUAGGGAAGCUGAAACGAAAAGACAAGAAAUUAGACCCAGUCCAAGAACAACAAUAUAUACAGUCUAACUAAAAAUGUACUAAGGCUAUCCAGCUUGCUGAGACAUAUUAGAAAUCAACUGCUCAAUAUAUUUGAGCACAAGGAGUAAGAGAAGUACUUCCAGAUGGGCUAAGCAAUUUAAUGAAAUACAAGUUUCUUGCAUAAUACUCCCUCCAUCCCAUUGAAGUUGUCAUGCUUUCCGUUAUUAUCUGUCCCAAAAUGAUUGUCACUUACCAAAAUUGGCAAUGAAAACUUACAUACAUCUCCGUUCCAUACCCUUUAAUGUGACAGCCCUUUCUUAUCUUUUAGUGGGCCCAAUUAUGCACUUACCAAGUACAAACACUGCACUCAAUAGUGCGUGACUCCCACGUGAAAUGCAAAUAACACUUGUGCAUGACACUUUCCUCUAAAGCAGUCCGGAGACAUUUCAUUCUUUUGAGUCCCACGUCUUAUCACACCUCGUGGCCCUUUUAUCAUUCAACCACGUAUGAAUACAUUGAAAGUCAAGCGGGGUAUUACCGGAACUUAAAUCCAAAUCAUUUAAAAGUCUUGCACUGUUGAUAAUAAUUGCAAGUCCCGAAGUGCGACAAACUUUUUGGGACGGAGGGAGCAGCAACUAGACAAUGAAAUAUAAAUACUUGUUUCUUUACUUUUGAUGCAAAACAUGUAAACUGCUUUGUCAGAAUCUUCUUUAGAGCUCAUUUAGAAAGCAAUGAGACCCAAAUAGCCAAAGGAAGACAUGCAAUGACACUUACUAAGUUCCUUUAAAUAAAGUGUGCUCCAGAAUUCCUUCAACUCCUCCAAGUGCUUGAAUAACGUCAGUCCUAUAAUUGUUCAAGUUCCAUAGCUUUCCAUCAUGCCUCUGGUGGGUCCACCAGAAUGGAUUCUGCUUCAGAACUUGAUAUUGCUUAAAAUCUGUUCUCACUCUCCAUCCUUUGUCAUAUGCAAGGGUGUGUCUAUCUUUCUGAAACAAAGUGUUGAUUCGAGGAAUUCCACGGUCCCAUGAAUCCUAUAAAUAAAAUGAUAAAUGUUAAAGAGUAAAGAAAAAAGUUUGAAUAAAGCCUUCCACACCUAUAUUUGCCUUCUUUUUUAAAAACAAGAAUUAACUGGCCCAUACUUCAAACUAAAUCACUCAAUUCUCUGUCCAAGAACUAUCUAAUUAAUUAAUCCAUCUUAACCAAGGCAAAGGAUACAACAGUACUAACGCCCGGAUUAUUUCAUCUAACAUCUUUUAUUCACCCUUAGAUAACACAAGCAAAAGAAAAUGCAUUCCAAUCAGCAGUAACACUUACUUCCAGAUCUUCAAGAGUCAAACGUCUAUUCUGUGCCUGCGCCUCUUGUCUCUUUAAAGCAUAUUCAGCCCAAACUCGUUGCGAAUCAAUGAAUUCACUCUCCCAAGGCUGUUACAUUAAGGCAGAGAUUAGGCCAAUUUAUUCAAAGAAAUACAGAAUAAAAAGCAUGGCAGCCAAUGCAGUCAACAUACCUGUAUGUAACGAUAAAGAUUUGGAAUCAACUGGUCUUCUUCAUGACUCAUUCCGCUCCUGAAAUGUGUUACACCUACAUCUGUCUGCUGACUAUAUCGGAGAUCACUCUGUGGAAUCAAUAUGUGACCCAUUGACAACAUCCCUAAUCCCCCAAUUUCUUUUGGUGUGUAAAAGAUUACAGGAGGAAACCUACAAUGGAGAUCAUUAUUUUAGAACAAGUAUACAGCAUAAUUUAGAAAGCAGUAGAAAAAUAACUGACAUGAAUAAUCUUACCUGCUUGGCAUUUUUGAAUUUAACCCAAUCUUAAUACGGGUCUGAAUUUUAUUUUCACAUUUGACCAGUAAAUCUAACAAUUCCUGUGUAUGCACAGUGGCUUCACGGAAAUAUGUCAUCAGACCUGUGAUAUCAAUAUUAAAGUGCUUCAGCAGAUGGUAGCACAAGAUAGCAGUAAAUGUCAUUUUGGAAAAGUAUAACUAAAGACCAAGGGACUGUACUUAGUACCUAUCAAAGCUGUAUUCCAUUUGUUGACGAUCUUGGUGAAUGUUGUAGAACCUGAUGACAUAAGGAUCUGCCUUACACGAUUCUCGAAAACUUUCAUGUGCUCAUCAUCAACACGUAAGAAAGCAACUGCAGUACGCUCUUUAGUCUGCUCAUUCUGCAAGUUCCAAACCCCAUCUCUUGUAUUGCUAAAUGCUUCCUGACUCAUCCUUAUCUUUGGCAGUAUACGAACCUCGAAACCGCACAUGCUAAAAAGCAAGUUGGGAUUAUCUUUGCUGUAAACAGAGACAAAGCUGUUCUCCCACUCCAAUGUGGUGAUACUUCUGGGAAGACGAUUCUUCAUGUCCCAAAACACACUUCUCCCAAGAUUGACUGCAUCAUAAGAUUAAGCAAACAAUAAUUGCGUACACAGAUCACAAUAUAAAACAAUUAUAGAAGAACUGUAAAGAAAGAAAUCCAGUACAACAUUCAAUUAAAAAAAUCACCAUCAUGUUUCAUGAGCCUCAUGCGUGCAUCCCUUGGCCAGCACUUCUUGUUGUUAUAACCAACCAUAUUCUCAUUGUUGGGAUCAGGAUGCUCAGUAAGGUACCGUUGGAUAAGGUCCCGUGCCUCUUCAUGAGUGAACCGAAACAAUAUGUGCACCUUAUCAAUGUAACGGGAGUACAAUCUUAUGGGGUGUCGUGUCUCCACUUUAGCGUCCCAGUAAGUGAUAAACUCAUUAGGCAUCUGUGGUGGACCAGCGAUUUCACUGGCUCUAGUUAAACCAAGAAGUAAAAGAUCGAGCACUAAGCCAUAGUACUGUACGACAAAGGAAGCAAAUUGCAGACCACGAAUAAGACCAUAAGAGUUGGUAUGACUCAUGUCCUUGUAAGACAGCACGACAUUGUUCUUGGCCGUGACAUAAUCAGCAAUAUUAUGGUCCAGAACCAAGCGAAGAAGUCUAUUUAGCAUAGUCAAAUCAAUCUUUUCAAAGAAUUUCUCAAAUUUGGUUUGAAGCAUCACAACACAUUGACCUUCACUUGUAUCCCAUAUGCCUUGCAAGUUAUUUAUACCCUGACACCAUUUAUAGACCAAUAGUGGUGGAGGUUCUGAAUCCGCUGGCUUUAUCCAAUUGGGAAACAGAUGGCGCUUGUCACCUUCAUACCAUAGAUAUUGGUCUAGAUAUGCAUCUGUGAUCUUCUCAAGCGGUUCAAUCUCAUACACAGGUAUCAAGUAACUGUAUAAAUCCAUGAACUCGAUGCCAACUUCUUUGAAGGCACGUUGGGUCAGAAGAUGACGCUUAAUCCGUGACAAGGCCUCAUGCGGGUUAUCAUAAGCUUGUUCAAUGAGACCCAACUCUUCUCUUUGUAGUUGAUUUAACCUGACAGCCACGCUAUAAGAUUCUUUCAACCUUUCAAGGGCAAGGAUAAGUAGUUUUGUAUCAUGCUUGUAUGACAAGGGAGGAAAUGGAAUAGGUGAGAAUUUUCUGGACUCCAACCAGUGCACAGUGGUAGUGUAUAUGGCCACUGCUUCUUCCGGUGUCACAUAUGGACCAUCUUUUAGAUAAUUAUGCUGACGUUCCUGCUCAGCUUUCAACCAAAGACGGGUCAAUCUUCCAAGAUUCUUCCGACAGACUGUUUUGUCCACAGUUGCACCUCUUCGUAUACGUUCACGAUUAUAAUGAGCAACAUUUGUCCACCAAUCAGCUUUUGACUUGACAUAGCGAAGAAUCAUGUUCUCAAUUGGUACAGGCAGACCAGGCACUUUCCAGGGAAUAUUGGCUUUCCAACAACGCCAUGCUUCACUCAGAUGCUGCAAGAUCGUUCUUGCCUUAUUUUGCUUAAUGCCCUCUGGCAUGGCAUCAAGAACAUCAUGCAUCACAGCAGCACGAAGUUCCAAGUCAAAAUGGCUUUCAACACGCUGUUUGGUAACAGUUUUAGCAACCCCUUUAGAAUGCCGUCCCUCAAAUUGUCUUGCCAGUAGGUUCCCCAACCACCGCUCCAGAAGAGGCACUAUUCCACGAAGGAAGAAUAACCACACUCUCCACAUAGGUGCCCAGAAACCACAUCCAGGUCCUUUCCCAACAGGCCCAGUAUUAAAUCGGUAAUAAAUCAAGUGUUUCAAAUCCUUGCACAUCCGUAUCUGCCGCAUGAGCCUGUAUUUAUAUCUGUACAUACCCGUCAACUGCCCAACAUGUGAAAAUAUGUAUUGCAAGCCAUCUGCCAACUGAAAUGCAUCCACAUUUCCUAACCGGAACUGGAUAUUUGCAUCCACUACAAGCUUUGUCAGUCUAAGUAUUUCACGACAAAGAUGAAAAGCAUUACCAAAACGAGACUUCUUGCGCUCCUUUGUUGUGAGAGUCUUCACAGGUUUCAAGUUGAAAUUAUAGUCAAGAUGAAGGUAAUUCAGAUUUUUCCUGUGAAUCAACAGAUUCAACAUAUUGUAACCCUGCUUACAAACUUGGAGUCCAGCUUCAGCCCAAUCAAGUUCUGUGGUUUGGAAAAACUUUGUGGCUGCAAGAGAACGAAACAGGUGCUUCUUUUUCUGAGCCUUAGGCGGCCUAUGAUGCAGCUCAUUUAACACAAAACAUUUCAACAACUUCUGAUAACUCACACGAACUUUGACAGGAUAUGAUGGAGGACUGCAAAAUGUACAGCAAGAAAAAGUAAGGACAAUUGACAACCACAGCUAGUGGAAAAGCAAUGUGCCAGAACCAUAAUUACCAUAACUCACCAGUGUUCCUUGUACCACUCAGACACAAGAGGUAUGUCUUCAGCACGGCGCAUACGACCUGAUCUCAUGUUAAAAGGUCGUGGUGCAAACAGAAGUGAUAUACCUGCAGCAGUAGUAUCAGUAUAUAUGGGAGUACUUUUGAGCAAUGGUUCAACCCCUUCAGGCAAAGAAAAGUCAUCAUCCUCCUCCUCUUCAUAAUUCUUCUUCUCCCGUCUAUCCUUAUUGGAGCUAGUUAUGGGGUGAAUUAGAGGAUCAUAGUAAAAUGCAGGUAGAUCAGGAUCCUCUGUCUUUAUGUACAUAACCAUAGGGGUGUGAUACACUCCAAGCUUCACCUUCCGGGGUCUGUUGUUAUACAGAUGAGGGAAUGCAA
rnacentral:lncRNA from 1 species